GUGAAGAGGCCUUCUCCUUCAUAAUUCGGUCCUGCUAGAAUUUCGCCAUGGGGCGAAAUGAUGACACUACCUCCAGCCCAAACAAUAGAAUCUGGAGUGACAUCUUCUUCUGUAGGACUGUAAAGAUACUCAGGUGGAGGUGGGUAAUCUUUCCUCCGACAGAACUGGAUGGGUGAAAGAACAUAGCAUCCACCCUCAAUAGCGACGUGUCUCAUUGUAGCUACCCAUGUAUCCCCGGAAUCGGCAGUAGGAGCACAAUAUAUCUCAAUACCUAUAUAGAUGUACAUUCGUAUUUUGUGAUCAAUCAAUCCCAUAUCAAAGCCAUAAUGUAUUUCAAGCCAAAUCAUAUUAGUUAGUGAAGAAAAAGAAAUGGUAAAAGACAUACCUUUGCCAUACAUUGCUGUCCUGAAAAGUGGCAUUCUAUUUUCCCAACAAAUGACCGAACCAAGUUUUCCAUAUGGAGUGUCAUAAACUGGAGUUGUCGAGCAAUCUCCGAAACCCCAGAACAGCCGCUCCCAAUAUGUUGGCAUGAGUUUCCUAUGUUUUCCAAGGUAAUUACCUUCAGGAUCAAAGAAGAGAACUGUGGAAUACAAUGUGUAUCCAUCUCUCUCAACAACGCCUGUCACUAAGUAGACUUUGUAUUUCGCAGCCAUUGAUGCCAAUCUAUCCGCUUCAGGUCCUGAAAAUACAUUAAUAUGAGAUCAAAGAUGAAACAUGUAAGCUGAUCGUUCAUCACAAAGCAUAAGUAUAAUUUUUUUCUUGGUUCAUUCAUCAAACGUGUCUUGUUUCAAUAACUAAUUAAGUGGUUCAGUUCUUUAGCUAUUUAAGGGAGAAAGAGAGAGAUAACUGACCCGGCACAUUAAUGGCAGAAGCAUGGUACUUGCGGAAACUUUCUUUCCCUCUUGGCGACUGGUCGGCAAAGUUGUAUCCCCGGGGAUACCCACCGAUAAAUGCUUCAGGAAACACAACCAGUUGGGAUCCUAGUGCAGCUGCUUCUUUCAAAAACCUCUCAGCCUUAUCUGCUCUCAAAAUCACAUUGCAAGAAUUAAUAAUCCACGACUUAGAAAGUAAAUGAAUUGGUUGAAUGGAGAGAAUGAAAAUUAACUUCAAGGGAUCCCGAAUGACUUUUUGGUUGCUGAGAAAACUCAAGGAAAAAGAGACCUAGAUGAAACUUGAAACUCUCAUAUUUUCAGCUGUUUUGUAACUAAGAAAAGAGAAACCACCUCAACCCAACUCAUUAAAAUAAUUGUAAAAGCAGUAAUUCCUUGAUUGGCAGCUGAAAAUAUGAUCAGGGUUCAAUCAUCCUUUUCUUUUUUUCAGUCUCUGACCAACCAAUUAGAUCACAUAUUCCAUUACACAAGUUGCACAAUUGAAAGAAAUGGUACGUUACCUAGAGUGGCAGGAGUAUCAUAAAAGAUACUAGAAGCUUGAACAACGGUGGCUCUAACAGUUGAAGACAUUGCAGAAAUCGUAUGCUUUUUCGUUUCCCUUUUGUUUGAGGAUUCCUUACACAACGUUCAGUAUAUAUAUUGCCCAUGAACAUGAGGUUCUUCUGCCAUUACUUGAACGAGACGAAGAGGCUGUGAAAAGUCUGCCUUGGUUUUCUAUAUUUAUUGUGAGCUUUUCUCCUCAUCACAAAUUUUGAAGUUAUCCGCAGACAUUGUGGACCAGCGACAUGACUUGUACAAAUUGAAAAUGACUGUGAUCUGUGAAAAGUAAUUUAAGAUAAAAUUCAAUUCAUGGUUUGAUAGUUUUAGACAAACAAAACACAAAGGUGAACACAUACCCAAAUUAUUAGGCUUUUAUUUUCAUUUCUUUUAUAUGUAUAUAUAUAAUGUAUAAGUUGCUAUGAUUAUUUGAAUUAAAGAAGGGACCCGCCCACGUGCAUAGUGGUGGCUGAGGCCUUUUGUGACCUCAAAAUAAAAGAAAAAAAGAAUAGUCAUUAAAAGCACAAGAUAGUCAUUAAAAGUACAUAGUGUUAUAGUUUUAGACGCCCAAAAGAAGUCUUUUUGUGCCUUGUAAGAAUCAAAAUAAGUUUUAUCGCUUUCUUUUUUUUCUACAGGUACGAUGAUUAUCUUUGAACGAAAAGAGGGAGCCGCCCACAUGCAUGGAUUCCAUCCAUCUAGCACACAGAUAAAUUGUCAUUUGUGGCUUGAGGCUUUCUAUGACUUGUACUAUAUAUCUAUAAAACCCAGCAUAUAGCUAACAACUGGGUCCGACCUCAUGUAUUGGUCCCUACCAAAAAUUAAUGAGUGAUUCAAUGGCAGCUAUGGUAGAAAAAUAAAAAGGGAGAACUAUGCUUACCCUCACGUUGAUUCAAGCAAAUAUAUUUUUUAGGAAUUCUAAUUUUCAUAUUUCACCCAAAACGCAUAAUCAAUAAAUUUAUCCUUCAAAUAUGUAUUUUAAUAACAACCAAAAUGAGAAUUCUAUAGUUAUCCCUUAUAAAAUCUUUAAUAUGACAAGUCAUCAUUUGAUCUGUUUGAUAUCCUCUCCAUAUCAUGUAUUUGAUAUCCUAACUUUGACAUUUUUUUAUUUAUAUACGCUGAAGUGAAUACACUUUCAUAUUUCUUUUCGUUCUUUUAAUAUUUUCAUAUUUAUUAACUUAGUCAUUUUUUUGAAACAUUAACAUAAAAUUAUAAUAUAUGAUCAAUAACUAAUGAGAACAAAUUAAACAUAAAUAUAAGUAUGAAAUGGACAGAAAAUAAAAAUUUUAUCCUACAAACAAUACACUAAAUAGUUUAAAAUAUUAAUUAUAAUAAUAUAUUUGAUACUUUAGGGUUUAGAUUAAAAAAUUAUGUUUUACUUUUUAGAGGCUAGGAUAUAGGAUUUCCAUUAACCAAAGAUUUUUUGUAUGAAUCCUAAAUAAAAUGUGCAUUUAUUUUGCAAAUUCUUAUCAUAUAUAAUUAAAAUAAAAUAAAUAUAUUUUUAUCAUAUUAUUUUUAAUUUUUAUUAUUUUGUGUCAAAAUCAUAGUCAAUGAUGGUGGUUUUUGUUAUGAUAUAGCUCUUAAAAGGAUGUUAUGAUGUAAUAAAUAUGAAGUUUAUUAUUUAUUUAAUGGUAUUUUGAUUUCACUUUUAUUAAUCUUUAUUUCAUGCAUUUUACCUUAUGAGUAUUCUAGCCUGACAUUUCUUGCACUAUACAUAACUUGGGUGCAUUAAAAAUUGCAAGAAAGAUCCAAGUUAUAGGUUCCUUGCAAGUAAAUGAUUUGUUCACAACUGCUUUGUGAACUUAAGUGAUCCAUUUGAUGUCAUAGUUCACUACCUCUUCAUUAGAGGAAUGAUUGAUCUUGACUAUCGAGAUAGAGUUCUCAUGGUGAGUACACUAGUAUGAUGAGUUAUGAUGUAAAGUUGUUGGAUAGUCAUAACUUCACUAAGUUGUUAUAUUGUAUUGUUUUCUCAACCUUGAGAGAAUAUUGAACUUGUGCCAAAGUUUGUAAUUAUUUGACCUAUGGGUGAGAUCCUAAAGUGAUAAUAUAUUCCUUACGAAUUGGGUCACAGUAGAUAGAAGUCGGUAGUAAUAAGUAUUCUCAAUAGAGACAUCAUGAAAUCUCAUGGAAUUUGAGAUAGUGUUGGGUGAUAAUAAGGACAUGUAAUCAUGAAAUCUAUGGUUGUAUUAAUUCUUUAAAUGAAAUUUGAUAUAUGCUUUUGUGAGUUAGAGUAUGUUAGUUGAUCAUAUAAUAAGAGAAUAUAUAACUCAAGGAUGGUAAGGUAAUAUUGAAAGGCAAAUAACUUUCACCUUAUUAGAUUAUAAACACCAAUUCAUGGGGAGACUAUAUGCAAUAGAUAGCAGGUCAUGAAGUUAAGCAUUUUGUGUCUUUUUGUAAUACACAUAGGGCAUUGAAAUGUAAUUGACUUUCUAUAGUAAGAUGUUGAGCCAACUUUAAAAUUGGAUUAUAAAGGAGCCAAUACUAUCUUAUGGGUCUUAGCGGUCCUCGCUCAAGUUUAUAUAUCUCAAUGACAUGGUUUGUGAGGGUUGGAUUGACUCAUGAUUCACUUAUGUGCAAAAAGGCGUUUUGGCAAGUAUGCAUGAAUGCAUAAGAGUUUGUUGGGAUAAAACCUUAUAAAUCAUGAGAUGAUGUAAUAGAUUUAGUUUCAUUAAUAAAUUUAUUUAUUUACUAUUCUAGUUCCCUCAUAUUAUCCCAUUGUCAUUAAUUGGUUAUCGGAGUAUUUACACCCAUAUCACUUGCAUUGUACAUGACUUAGGUGUAUUAGGAGUUGAACAAAAAAUCCAAGUCAUGGGUUUUUUGCAAGGUGAUAAGUAGUUUAUAGUGGGUUCAUGGAUUUGAGCAAUUUAGUAGAGACUAUAGUAUACUACCUCCUAAUUGGAAAGAUAAAUUGUCUUAGUCACCGAGAUGACUUUCCCAUGAUGAGUGAAACAAUGUGUAUGGUUACACAUUGGACAUGACCUAUGGUGAAUUAUGACAUUAAUUUUUGGGUAGUCAUGAUUUACCAUGAUACUAUAUUAUAUAAACUCUCAACCUUGAGAAGAUAUUGAGUUUGUGCUGAAAUCAAUAGGAAACUUCGAUCUAUGGGUGAGAUCCUAGUGUGGUCAUAUAUUCCUUAUAAAUUGGGUCACGGUUGAUGAAGAUUGGUGGCAACAAGUGUUCUUAAUAGAGAUACCAUAAUAUCUUAUGAGAUUAAGAGAACGUGUCUCUUGGGUGAUCCUAAAGACAUGUGAUUAAGAUGACUACGACCAUAACAAUUCCUUUAGUAGAAUUUGACAUAUGCUCUUUGUAAGCUAGAAUAUGUCAAUUGAUCACUUAACAGGAGGAUUUGUAACUCAAGGAUUGGAGAGAUAAUUUUGAAAGGUUGGGAUCAUUACCUUGUUAGAUUACAAACACUAGUUCAUGGGGAGUUUACAUGCAGUGGAUAGUAGGUCAUAGACCUAAACUUUGCCUUGUUGUAAUUAUAUAGCAUAUUAGAGUGUAGUUGACUCUCUUUAGUAGGGUGUUAAGUUAACCUUAGAAUUGGAUUCAAAGUGAGAUAGUAUUUUCCUAUAGGUUCCAAUGGUCCCUACUCAAUUUGGUGUCACAUUUGUUUGAGGGAUUUUAGGUUUGUAGUUAACAAGUGUGCAUAAGGGGGAAUUUAAUAAAAAUACAAGGUUGGACUAGAUCUUGUGAAUAGACUUUCUAGAUUGGCAUAAUUUAUUAAUUGGAUUCUAAUAGGGCUAAUUAAUUAAUUAGGACCUAAGUGAGCUAAAUUAGGUAACCUAAGCCCAAUUUGGGCUCAAGUCACUAAAGUUCACAAGGAAGCUUAUAAAUAAUUAUUUAAAGCCCAUUGGGUUUUAUGAGUGACUUAAGCUUGCCUUGGGUUUGGGUAACUUAUUAUAGCCUAAAAAGGUUCUUAAUUGAGGGCUUAGAUUAAUCAAUUAGCUUAGUCCAAAAGUAACAUUCACCAAAUUUAUUGGAAACUUUGAAUUACUCCAUUUCAUGAUCCAGGAUCAUAUAGGGUGCAUGCAACUAUCCUUAGGCUUCUCUAGAUCUAAUGCAAUGGAAAAUAUGGAUAUAAAAUCCAUAAAAUGUACUAGAUUUAUAGAUUAGAACUCAUACCUAUGAUUUGAAUGUUUCUAAAUUAAAUCUAAUCCCUAAAAAACAUCAAAGAUGUUUUAAAAGUCAUUUAUUUCCACCCAAUCUCUCCUUUCACAAAUAGACCCUAGCAUAAAAGAAGGGUAGGCUUUUGUCUAUCUUUUUUGAAGGUAGCUAGGGUUUUCUCAUUCUUUUAUGGCAUCAAACUCUUAGACUUUUACUUUUUCCAUUCUCUCCCACAUGUCUAGAGAGAAUCUAGUCCCCACUCUUCUAGAUAUCUAACAUUGGAGUUCGUAGCUUCAAUGAGGAGCCAUCAAAUAGAAAACCAAUAGGUUUGUGAGAUUUUCGAUGACCCCUACACAUUUAAUAACCUCCUUGACUGCAAAAAUUUGAUUUGGGAACAUCUAGAUCUUGGUAAAUACUUCUAAUCUAUAGAUCUAGAUCUAAUUUCUAUUUUAAAGGUGAUUUUUCUUUCAUUGCUAGGGUCUAGAUAAGCCUAGGAAAGUCUGCAUGCACUUAACGAGAUCUAGGGAUAGGGAACUUAGUGAUUUAUGCUUUCUUGUAGUUGGAGCUUUUUGCUUUUGAUUUUAACUUGAGUGUACUUUUGGCAUUUUCUUGCUUAAGCUUUUAAUUUUUUUGAAUGAUGUACAAUGCAUUUAUUUUUUUAGAGGAAUGUAUUUAUUUUUCUUAAUGAUGUACUUCCUUUUUUGAAGGAUAUACUUAAUUUUAUAACAAAUGUAUUUAAUUUUUCUAAAGAAUGCACUUAUUUUUCUAAGGGAUCUAGUUGUAUGGCAUAAGAUGUCCUCUCAAGCAGAGGUGGAGGUACUAUAGAUUUUGUAAUAGGCACAAUGAUUACUAAGGUGGUAUGUGAUGGAGGGAUUGGCAUAAAAGCCUGAAGUAAGGGUGUGUCUAAUAAUAUAAAUGGCUCGAGUAAGUAAAGAGCAAAUGGUGUGGAAAUUCAAGUAGGGAAGAAAGGGUUGGUAUGGAUUCAUCGGGGGAAGGAAAUGUAGGUUCCAUGAUACAGAUGCCUGAAGUAAGGGAAGAGUAGAUAAUGUGUAAGCCCUAAGUGGGGGUUGUUGAUGCCAGGUUAACUAAGGAUGGAAUCCCUUGGUUGUGGUAGCAAAAAGGUUCUGUCCAAAAGUCGGAGACUAGGCUUUCGCCUUCCCUGCACAAAGAUGUCCUGACACACUCUCCAAAACCUAAGUCAGACUUUGAAGUGGGUAGGAACCCUUAGAGAGAGAGAGAGAAGAUGAGAAAGUCCUUAGUAUUGCGUACUUGGGUUCUGGUUCCAGGAGGGUUUUUAUAGUGUCUAGGAUGGAGUCACUAUUGUGUUGAGUUAACAUCUUGACUUUUGCCGUCAGAUGGCAUCACAGUGGAUGGUAGGGUAAUCAUCACCAUUUAGGCGGCUGGCAGGGGUUUCUAGUGGGUACGUUAUGAUGGUUUACCUGUCACCUCAACCUAUUGGAGGUAUGGGGCAGUGUGUGAUAGUCGUUUGAUAUGAACGUGGAGACAAGGUAAGAUCCCAUCACCCAUACUUUUGUUAGAAAAAAAUGAUUUCCUGCAGCAAGGAAAUAGAGCAACCAGCCGGAAUGCACUGACAAUUUAAGGGAGCCUAGUAUUGCCGAUUGCUGGCAUGUAUAGUCCAGACUAGGACCUUCGAGUUUGAUGAUGAUCGUCCGAACAACAUUGAGAUGAGCGCCAUGUGGGCCAGUAGUGGUCUACCACGUGGGGGAAGAUCUCCACAGGGGUGACAAGGUUGGAAUGAAGGUAUUAUGGAAGAUGAAAUAUAAGUCUAUGACAGCUUUGAUUUGGUCUGGACUUCUAUUCCCUUUUGUGUGACCAUGAAUCCCAGGAAUUUGCCUGCGCUGACCUCAAAGGCACAUUUGGCCGGGAUCAACUUCCUAUUGUAAUUUCUCAUUAAGCGAAAGGUCUCUUCUAAAUGUUGGGCAUGUUUUGACCUGGUUUUGCUUUUUACCACAAUGUCAUCAAUGUAUACUUCCACUAUGUGGCCGACUAGUGGCUUAAAGAUCUUCUUCAUCAGCCUUUGGUAGGUGGCUCCCGCGUUCUUGAGCCCAAACGACAUGACUUUAUAGUAGUACAAUUCGUGAGGCAUUACAAAGGCGGGUUUUUUUUUCAUCCGACUAGAACAUCGAAAUCUGAUGAUAGCCAAAGAAAGCAUCUAUGAAAGAAAACAUCGUGUGUCCAGCAGUAGACUCGAAUAUCUGAUCUAUCCGGGGUAACGAAAAACUAUCUUUUGGACAUGCGUCAUUCAGGUUGGUAUAAUCAACACAAACUCGUCAUUUACCUCCAUUUUUUUGGGACCACCAUCACGUUUUCCAGCCAUUCCAGAUACUCUACUUCCCUUAUAAACCCAUCCGUGACCAACUUCUCUAUUUUACGUUGGAUAAUCUUCUGUCUAUCCGGAUGGAAGCAUCGGACUUUCUGUCGAACACGUCACGAGGAAGGCAUAACAUUGAGCUUGUGAGAGGCUACCGAUGGAUGGAUUCCGGGCAUAUCAGAAUAAGUCCAUGCAAAAACUUCUUUAUUCUGUUGAAACACUCCUUGGACUGCUUUAAGCUCUUUAAGUGCUGGUAAGGAGCUGACAUAGGUAACACGGUAGUUAUCCUGAGAGAGAACCAACGGUAGGAGUGGGUCAGCCGCCGACGGAUCUCUUUCUGUCGGGCUCUGUAAUUGCUAUUGUUCCUCCGUGUCAGUUCGUUUCGUAAGUGGCUUAAAAACACUUAUGGAUCCGGAUUCUUGCGCCACUUGAUGACAUUGUCGUGCUGCUAGCUGGCUUCCAAAGAGGUUGAUCGGUGCCUUCUCGAUUAAAUAGCUCACCAUUUGGUGAUACAUAGAGGGGAUGACCUUCAUACUGUGCAGCCAUGUGCGCCCCAUGAUGGCAUUGAAAAUGGACAAGUCUUCCACUACUAAGAAUUGCACAUUCUAGACCAUUGACUCGACUUGGACGAGUAGCACAAUGUCUCCUAGAGAAAUUGUUGAGGCCCCAUUGAAACCUGAUAGUACAUGUCCGGGAUUCUCUAAGGUGGAUGAAGAGAAUCCCAUCUGUUUGAACGCGAACAUCUAUAACAGGUCAUCCGAAUUGCCCGGAUCAACUAAAAUCCAUCUUACGUCAAAAUCAUUGAUCCCCAACAUCAGGAUGAGGGCAUCUUCAUACGAUUGUAACACUCGGUUGGGGUCCAUUGGAGGGAAGGUGAUUACCCCAUUUAUUAGGCACGUGUCCUCAUCGGGCAAGCCAGGUUGGAUGGAGCUAACCUGCUUUCUUACAGAGGCUGGUUGAAGUAAUCUUUGCCUCUUCUGUUUAGAGUUGUAUUUUUCAUCAAUGGAUACCCAAUGAAUGUAGUUGAUUAUGGCUCUAGGAGUUGCUGAAGUUGUGAGGGUCGUGGUGGCUGGACUUCAGGUUCCAUCCCCACGUCUCCCAUUUGAGUGGACGUACUAUUUCAGAUGGCCAACUCUUAUUAAUUUUUCCAGUAAGUAGUCGAGGCUUCUGCAUUGUUAUGUGGUGUGACCAUGGUCUUUAUGGUAAGCGCAAUUUCUAUUCUGAUCCCAUUUCACCGGAUCUGUCUUAAUUGGCUCGGGCCAUUUGAAAUUGGACAAAUCCUUGAUCAUGGGGAGGAGUUUGUUGUAUGAGAUAUUGAGGGGAGUGAGACUAGCUUGGGUUGCCUGUUGUCCAUCCUACCACUUACCAGUUUGUAUGCAUUGUUUGCAGGCUUAGAGCUCUCGACUGAGUUGUUCCUAGCAUUUUGAUUGGUGACCAGGACCUAUUGGGUAGCUGUGUGGACAUCGUUUCAAGCAUGGAGUACUUGUUUGCUCGUUUGAACAAAUCGUCCAUCGUUGCUGGAGGUUUUUUGGCAACAGAUUCAAAAAAGGGUGUACCCGGGCAGAUGCUUCUUUUGAAAAUUUGAAGGACGAUGUCUAUGCUACAAGGUUCUACUUGAAGCACAACAUGUCCGAACCUCUUUACAAACUCUCUCAAUAACUCAUUCUCCUGCAUCUUUAUGAUUUGCAAAGUACUGAUGUUCUGCUUAUGCCGUGCUAAGCACAGAUACUGUCCCACAAAGGCCUCCAACAAAUUCUGAAAAUUAUUCACGGAAUUCAUCAGAAGGCGAUGGAACCAUGAAAGAGACUAGCCAUGGAGGUUAGCUUGGAAGACCUUGCACAACAACGCAUCAUUCCCUAUGUCAAGGGUCAUGAGUUGCCUAUAAUGCAUGAUGUGGUCAAAUGGAUCGUUGGUUCCAUCGUAGGUAGAGAAUUUUGGAACCAUGAACCCUCUUGGAGAGUUGUAGUUGAUGAUGUAAGGGUUGAAAGGUGUGGAGAGCAUGUCAUUCGGUCGCCUACUGACAGAGCAGGGGGAACCCUUGUUGACCGGAUCCCCCACUAGUUGUUGUGCUAGUAGAUGGAUAAGCGAGUCUUUUAUAUCUAGUACAGCUGAGGGUCCAGGACAUGCCUCCUGAGCCGUCGCUACAUGCGGUUUCCCCUCCAUAUUGGGCAUCUAAGGCCCUAACCUUGCGAGCAUUGCAUCCGAUAGCUAGGACUUCUUAUCGUGUUUCCUUUUUGCUGAGAGACGAGUGGAGUCGAAGCUUUCAUCCUACGGUGCGUGACAAGCUGGUGGGGAUCGUUUCUUAGGCUGCAUUUCUUGUUCAUUAGAGGGGAACUCUGCAUACCCAGGAUAUGUCACCUCAUCGUUUUGCCUGGAGUUCGUUUGCUGACUUCUAGGUUGUAGGCUCCGAGGAGGGUCUGAUGAAGACACCUAAAUGCGCAACACUUCGUUCUCUUCCUUGAGUCUCCUCGUCUCAUGGAGCAGGGCUUGCAGUUAUCUCUUGUUCUCGUGCUAGUGUCUUUCCAUACUUUCGCACCAAUUGAAGUAGCCCUCGCUACCCAUGGCUGACGAUCGACUUUUAGAGGGUGUUGACAUCUUUAUUUCAUUCCCAUAGACGACGCCAAUGUUGACGCUAGGUCAACUAAGGAUGGAAUCCCUUGGUUGUGGCAGAAAAAAGGUUCUGUCCAAAUGCUGGAGACUGGGCUUUCGCCUUCCUUACACAAAGAUGUCCGGACAGGUUGUCCGAACACUCUUCGAAGCCUAAGUUAGAGUUUGAAGUGGGUAGGAACCCUUAGAGAGAGAGAGAGAGAGAAAAGAUGGGAAAGUCUUUAGUAUUGCAUACCUGGGUUCUGGUUCCAAAAGGGUUUUUAUAGUGUAUAGGAUGGAGUCACUGUUGUUCUGAGUUGGCAUCUUGGCUUUUGCCAUCAUGAUGGCAGCACAGUAGAUAGAUGGCAGGGUAAUCAUCACCAUUUAGGCAGUUGGUAGGGGUUGCUAGUGGGUACGUCAUGAUGGUUUGCCUAUCACCUCAACCUGUUGGAGGUAUGGGGCAGUGUGUGAUAGUCGUCUAAUAUGGACGUGGAGACAGGGUAAGAUCCCAUCGUUCAUACUUUUGUUAGAAGGAAAUGAUUGCUUGCAGUCGGGAGACAAAGUAACCAUCCGGAAUGCACUGGCAAUUUAAGGAAGCCUAGUACUACCGGUUGUUGGCAUGUAUAGUCUAGACGAGGACCUCUGAGUCUGAUGAUGAUCGUUCGAACAACAUUGAGAGGAGUGCCAUAUGGGUCAGUAGUGGUCUCCCAUGUGUGGGAAGGGUCCCAUAGGGGUGACAAGGUUGGUUGAAGGUAUCAUGGAGGAGGAAAUAUGAGUCCAAUGAUGUUGGUGACUCAACUCUUGUGUGGUUGGGAGGAGGGUGGUGUAGAUGAUAUGAAUCUCAUGUAAGGGUAAAAGAGGGAUAAGUCUAAUGAUAUAGAUGAUCGAAGCAAGAGAAGUACAAAUAACUACAAUUUUUAAUUUUUUUUAUUUAUCUUAAAGGAAAGAGAACAUUUUAUUUAAAAUUAAUAUACAAAAUCACAUGGUUGUAUCAUAUUUUAAUUUUUUUUUCAUUUAUCAUAUAACCAAUUUUUAAUUUAGUAUUUCUUUUCUAACUAUUUAAAAAUGUUAUUGAUAUAAAAAAUUUUAAAAGUCAAAAUUUAGUAUGAACUAAAAAAAAUUAAGUCCAAAUAAAAUUAGUAUUAAAUAUUUAAUACAAAUUUAUAUGAAAAAAUAGAUUUUCUUCUUUAUUUUUAUACACAAAAAUUUAAAAAUUUUAACUAAGCAAAGAUUUAGAACCAUAAUCAAGUUAAAACCAUAAGUAAAAAGCUAAAAUUAUCAUCAUAAAUUAUAAUUUUAACAUGAAAAAUUAAAAAUUAAAAAUAAUAUAAACAUAAAAAUAAUAUCAUAAAGAUAUUUUUACUUUAUUUAGAUGUACUAAAAUUUACAAAAUAAAUAAACAUUCUUUUAGCAUUUAUAUAUAUAUAAAAAAUCUAUCAGACAUAUCUUUUAUCUUAAAUCUCUAAAUAAUAAAAAUCUAAUUUUUAAAUCUUAACCCUACAUUGUGAAAUGUAUUUUUAUAAUUAAUAUUUUAAAUAAUCGAGCAUAUUAUUUGUAGGAUAGCAUUUGUCUUUUUAGUUCAUUUUAUAUUUAAUUUAUUCUCAUUAAUGAUUAUUAUAUAUUAUCAUUUUGUGUCUAAUGUGUUCAAAAAAUGAUUACAAUUAAUGAAUAUAAAAAGAUGAAUAAGUGAAAAGAAUAUGAAAUUAAAGAGCUUUCAUAGGAGAAAGUGUGUCCACUUGAUCAUAUUAAAAAAAAAAAGGUUGAAAUGAAAAGAUAUCAAACACUUCAAAUUAUGAUUUAUCAUACCACAUAUUAAAAUAAAAAAAAACAAUUCAUUUAGCUGUUAUUCAAUUGCAUAUUUUAGAAAUAAUUUUAUACGUUGUUUUUUGGGAUGAAUGACAUUUGAAAGUUGGAAUUCCUAAAAAAAAUAUACAUAUAUUUUUUUGAGUUAAUGUAUGUAAGCAUAAUUCUCCCAAAAACUGGUCAUGCUUCAUCAUAUUGUAUGUUUGUUUUUAUAAUGUGUGGUUAUUCAUCUUUAUAUUUGUGUAACGAAUUGAUAUUUUUAAAUUAAGAGUAUCAAUUGACAAGUAGAUGAAUCAAUUGAUUGGGCAUCUAAGAGACUUAUGUGUAGAAGACUAAAAUUAUAAAUGGGGAGUUAGAAAAUUUUCAUUUAUAUGAAGGUGUUACAACUUUUGUAAUCCUAUUAUUAUGAGAUUUAAUUUGUACAUAAAGUUUAUUAGUAAUGGAAGAAGAUGAAAAAGUAUAACCUAUGCAAUUACAUAAAUGCAUUCAAGUUGGUAAUCCACAAUUAUCCAUUAAUUUGUACAUAAUGUUUAUAAAUAAUGAGUAUAACUCCCAUAUAAUCUUUGAUGCAUGCAAAGACUAAGAGAUAUAAAUCUCUUUUAUAAGAUUAAGGUUCCAAGUCAUACUCUUAUUCUUAUGUCUUUUUGUUGUUUUACUUAGAACAACAUAUGACACAUAAGUGACUUGUCUACUAUAUGACAAUAAUGAGUUGAAGAUCUUAACCAAAACAAUUCAUAAGAUGACUUAGGCUCACUUCGAAAGUAUUAUCGAUAUCAUGGAUGAAGGUAAGAAUAUGGUCAUUAUUUUAUCAUUGCUUUAGCAUUUAUAUCUAUUAUGUUUUAUGCAUCCAAAAUUGAUUUUUCAAAAUAAUUAUUUUCACAUAAAGUUUAGUUAACACAUGCUUUUUUUUAAAAAAAAAAAAUUUAAAAGUUUAAAAAUAAAUUUGCACAAAUCACUUUUAAAUGUUUUUUUAUAGAAAAAAAUUAAAAUAUGAAAGAAUCACAUAUUUUUUCAACUUUGAAAAAUAGAACUAGUAAACAUAUUUAACAUUUAUAGAAAUAAAAAAUUUAUUAAUAUUUUAAAAAUAAAUAAAUAAAAGCAAUGGUGUAUACGAAUAAUACCUUAUUCACCCAAUUUAAUUAUCAUAUGCCCUAAGGACCAAAGUGCCUAACUAAAUUUUUGCUCAAGGUACAAUAAUGCUAAAAAAUCUUUAAUCAAAACAUGGAUCUCACUCUUACUUCUUCCCACCACUUUAAUUUUACCUAACCUCACCCGCAGAAGUUCGUUCAUGUCUUAACUUGAAUCAAGUAUAACUUGUUUGUCUAGUUUGAACCUCAUGUUGCUUAAGUCCCAAAAGGAUAAAAUUUCUUUCAGAAUAUAAUUAUGCACAAAAUCCUCAUUAGGGUUAGAGUUUGCUCCUUCAUUAAUUAUUUAUAAUGGUUUAGGGUCAUAAUAACAUACUUUAUUAUGUUAAAGCGAAGAAUGAUCAAGAGUCCAAGUACUAACAAAUGGCACUUAUGAACCAUAGGUUGAGGAAGUGGCUUGAGCCCAAGCUUGGGGCUUAGGUUAUUUUUUGUUUAGGCAAUACUUAAAUCCAAACUUAAGGGUGACAUUAGAAACAUAUUUCAAUCUCAUAUUUUAUCAUCUUAACUAUUGGACCUAAUUGCACUCAGCAUGGAACUUGUUUAUGCAUUUUGGGAAUCGCAUGCAUUUUAGUACCAAAAUAGCUAUGCAACUUUUUUUUCCACCUAAUUAAGUUCAAAAUUAAGGGGGUGUUUGGUAAAACUUAAUACAUUUUACUAAUGACUUAAAUUGACUUUAAGUUAAAUUAUAUUUAAGUUGUUAACUUAAAAUUUAUUAUUUAAUUCUUACUUUAAGUAUUAAGGUUGUUUAAUAAAAUUAACUUAAAACAUAUUUUAAAUUAUCAAAUUAACAUAUUUAUCAUCAUAAAUUAUAACUAGGGUAUGAAAGGUUGAGUAACAAUGGAGGUGGUGGAGUAGCAAAGGAAAUUGUGGAGGUAACUAGGACAAAGGAGGAUAAAAAAGUAACAUGAAGACAUAAAUUUCAAAAUAAGUUAAUUGUUUUUACUUAUUUCUUAAAAUUAUUUUUGGCUUUAAGUCACAUCAUUAAAUUAUUUUAGUAAAUAUACUUAAUAACCAAAAUUAAGUUAUUAAGUCACUUUAAGUUAUUAAGUUAAUUUACCAAACACCUACUAAUUUUCAAAUUCUAAGUUUAGCUUUGCUUUGUAGUGAAUGCAUUUAGGAUUAUCAAAGAGGUCAUCAAGGGUUUCAAACAUAUUCUAUUGCUCAACUUCUCUAAGAGGGACUUCAGAAGAGAAGAUCCCACAAUUCUAGUUUUGUAUUCGAUUAUAUGUAUCCUACCAUAUGGAGACGGUUCCUCAGCAUGCUGACUUAUUAUUAAGGGUUUCAUGUGAAUUACGUACGCAUAAUAUAACAUAUACAGUUGGAAGAUAUCUCGAGAUUCUGAUUUUAUAUCUGGCCCUCAAAAUUCCCUUGGCAUGCUGAUAUGUCAACUAUUGAAAAGCCUACAUGACUUGUAUAAUUUGAAAAUGACUUCAGUCAUGUGUAAAAAAUAAUAAGAGAUAAGUUUUGAUUAAGGCAGCGAAAAGUAAUUGUGGACUAAUUGUGGACUAACUACUGACUUGUACAAUUUGAAAAUGACUUCAGUCAUGUGUAAAAAAUAAUAAGAGAUAACAUUCAUACAUAGUUUUGAUUAAGGCAGCGAAAAGUAAUCACUGUCAGGUUGUGGACAUUCCACCUAGCUAUUGGAAAGUCUGCACCCAUUUUCUAUAUUCAUGAGCUUUUCUCCUGUUCGAAUUAGUUUUGAAGUUAUCUACAGACAUUAAUUGUGGACUAACUACAUGACUUGUACAAAUUGAAAAUGACUUCAGUCAUGUGUAAAAAAUAAUAAGAGAUAACAUUCAUUAAUUGUGGAUAAAUUGUCUAUAUGACUUUAAAGAAAAAAAGGUCAUAUAAAAACUGAUUGCCUUGUGGAUACGCCUACCAGUAGAUAGCUGAGAACAAGGUCUAACUCUCAACCUUUUGCACUGCCUCUACAAAGGAACACAAAAUUGAGAGAUUCAAAGGCAGCUAUGGUAUAAAUACUGUUUCAUAAAUUACUUUUCAAAUUUAAUUUGGUAGCAAAAAUAAAAAAUAUAAAAGCAUAAAAAAUUUCUUUCAUUCCCAAAAUUUUUGCAAAUAAAAUUUUAAAGUAAUAAAUUAAGACCUUGACUCUUUUCACAUCUUAUUCUCAUUUCUAAAAAAGCAAUGAUAGUAAUAAUCUUAUCUAUAAAUUUUAAAUGAUGUAAGAUCAUUGAAUUUUUAUUUUCUUUUAUCUUCUUGUUAUGUAAUUAUCAAACAUAUUUUUUUUAAGACAAGAAAAAAAUUAGACCAAACAAAUAUAUUUGAUAUUUAUAACAAUUGAAAACAUAAUUCGUAUUUUUCAUUUUAAAAAAUAAUAAAAGCAAAGGUGUAUCAAAACAAUACCUCAUUUGCUUAAUUAGUUAUCACAUUUCCUAAGUACAAAAGUAGGCAAGUAAAUUUUUGCUCAAGUUACAAUAGUGCUCAAAAUCCUUAUCCAAGACUUAGAUCCUAUUUCACAAUUGUUUUUUAAAAUAGUUUUUUUUCUUCCUUAAAACAAAAAAACAAGAAAAUAUGUUUGACAACUGGAAAAUAAGGUUGUGGACCCCGUAUUUCCCUCGAUGUGUUCCCAUUCAAUGGCGAAACUCGUUUUUUUUUAUUUAUUUGGUGAAAAAUCGAUUUUUAGAAAAAAGACUUGGAGUCGCCACUUAUUUUUGUUUUGUUUUUAAAGAGUAAACAAAAUAAGAAAGAAAGCUCUGAGUGUGACUCCUUAUUUUGGAAAAGGUGGUAUGUGAAAAACCAAAUAUGGACUCAGGGGUCAGAUUACUUUUCGGGAAGGUGCGGUAAAAACCGUAACACCCCUCUAAGUCCCUAAAAACAGGUCUCUACUAAUAAAAUGAAACAAGUGUGAAAAAAGAUUGAUCAAUUGUGGAUACCAUACAGUAAUCGAGAGUGUGAAAGCAAGACACGCGUGAUAACAAAUAAAUAAAUAAGCAUAAUCGAGUACGAAGCAUACCUUAAUCGCAAACCGAGAGCUAUUAUAAGAGACAAGAUUAAUGCACAAAUAUGGGAUAAUCACAUGCAUGUCAUAGAGUGAGGCAAGCCAAUCAAGUAUAACAAUCAAUCGAUCAAUGGAAAAUCUCAUAUGUUGGGCCCCACCAAAGCCCGAUUUAUCUUAGCAUAGAUUAACUCCAUAAAUUUCUUUAUUUGAAAUUAUAGAAUUAUUUAUGCUUAUUAAAAAUGUGAAAAUCAGAAAACUAUUAAAAAUCAAGGAGAAUUUAUGAAAAAUGUUUGUCGGAAAGAUAUGUGGCGACCAAUUUUAUUAAAAAUGGAAAAUAUUUAAAAUCAAGAAAAAAAGAAAAAGAAAAAAAGAAAAAAAAAGAAAUGAAUAAAAUAUAAGAAAAUAAAAAAUAAAAAAUAAGAAUGAAAAUAAAAAUAAUAAUAAUAAUAAACAAAUAAAAUAAAAGAUGCAUGACCAGUGGAAAGUGGUAGAGAUUGACUUAUUAGAAUUGGAUUUAUUUAAAACCAAGAGAGAAAAAUUGAAGAAUUAAAACCAUUUGAAAAACAAGAUUUUUUAUUUUUUUUUAUAAAAUUGAUUUUUGAAGGCGUGUAUGAAACUAUAGGAGAUGAGACACGUGUCUUAAGGAUGACCUAUCAAAGGUGGAUGCAAGGGGUCUUGUGCAGUACUGGUGGUCGAAUAUGGGAUACCAACAACUGAGAGGGCCCAGAUGACUACUGUGGGUCCGGAUGGUACAGAAUGUCUCUUUCCUUGUGGACCCCUGCAUCCCUUUCCAGCCUAAGUCAACCCCCGAAGCUAUCCAAUUCAGCCAUUUGGGUCCGAAAAUCCUCCUUAGUUUUGAUGUUGAUAUCACCAUCUUCUUCAACCUCAACUCUUCCAACAUCAGGUAAGCCAUAGCCAUGGCAGUGACCUACGGAUAAACGUUACCUCCCCACCCAUCCGGCACCAGAUUAAAGCCUGCAGAAUGCGGCUUCCCCUUCAGCCCUACUGACCGGAGCUCCGAGAGCCGCCUGAUCACUAUCCCAAGGCUCACAGCGUAGUAGUACCCGAUGAAGAUCUGUCACGGGCUCCACCGUUCCACCUCAUACCACGAUUUGCACACCACAAAUAUCACGUUUCGGUCCUUAUCGAUAGGAAUGAAAGAAAACACAUUCUCCAAAACCUCUUCCGGAAACGAGUACGCCAUUAAAAAUUUUUUCUUGGAGUCCCGAAUUCACAAACAAACCCUAAACCGGACUUUUCGAAGUCUCAAAUCUGAGAUGCCAUUAACAAGCUCAGUUGCAUAAUACAUCUUUCCGUUCAUUUCCCCAUUGGCUUUGUCCCUGAAGUAUUUGCAGCCCGACAGCUUGUAGGGGAACCUCACUGACAUAUCGUGUUCGGUCUUCUCACUCACCACGACAAGGCGAUAAAGAUAGAGUUGGAAAGGCGAAUCAAGAGGCAGCUUUAAGUGAUCGAUUUUAGAGAAAGAACCCGCUUCCUCCAUUCCCUCAUUGGAUGAAAUUUUGGAUAAUCGUUCACCAAUUCUAACUUUCAUCUUCACCAAGUCUCGAUGCUUCUUCUUUAAUAAGUGCAACGAAUCUGCAUGUCGGGAGACCAAAUUCUCACGACGCAUAAUAAAAGAAUUUGCACCCGCCGUUACCGAUCCUUCUCCUUUGAUACCAACUCAUCCAUAACUAUGUCAUUUAAUCACUUCUCCAUUUGACCAUCCAUUCCGAACAUGCCCAGAAAAUCAUUGCUACUUGUUAAGAUAUUAGGAAUGCUUUCCUUAUAUCAUUUUUUCCUUAUGUCAUUCAGUGUUAGGAUAUUAGGAAUGUUUAGAUAUUAGGAAAGUUAAGAUAUUAGGAAUAUUGACAUAUUAAGAAAAUUGAGAUAUUAAGAAUAUUGAGAUAUUAGGAAAGUUGAGAUAUUAGGAUAUUAGUUGUUAUUUCCUUAUAUUAUUCUUUCCUUGUAAUUCUUUCCCAUUCUUAGAAUGGUGAUUACCCUCUAUAUAUACUCUGUACAUGAACGAAUGAAAGUAUGAAUGAAAAACUACCAUUCAUCAAUUUGAAGAUGGUAUCAGAGCCAUGGAACUGAAAUCUUGGAUAUUUUGUUGGUAAGGCCAACCAUCGUCCCUCCUUUGCGAGAGAAAAAAGAAAAAAAUGAGUGAAAAAAAUACUAUUGUUUUUCAAUCUGAAGGUACUUUCAAUCCAGGAAUUAUUUUGAAUGAAUCAAACUAUGACGUUUGGUCACAACUCGUGGAGAUGCAUAUUGCCGAACGGGAAAAACUUUCCUACAUUCGAGGUAAGAUAAAUCUACCAAAAGAGUCAAAAGAUGGAUAUGAAAAAUGGUAUGCUGAGAAUCAAAAGGUGAAAAGAUGGUUGUUAAUGUCCAUGAGUCCAGAAAUUAUGAAGCAUUACUUACACUUACCCACCGCUCAAGAAAUUUGGAGUGCAUUAUCAAAGGCCUUCUAUGAUGGAAGUGAUGAAUUACAAGUUUUCACUUUGAAUCAAAAAGCCUUCACUGCCAAACAAAACAGCAGGUCUCUUUUUGAAUAUUAUGGGGAGUUAACUGAAAUUUUUUGCGAAUUGGAUCAUUGGGAUAAGGUAGUCAUGAAAGACCCUGAGGACAUUGCAGCAUACCGGAAAUCCAUUGAACGACAACGGGUGCACAUCUUUCUUGCUGGAUUUGGUGGUGACUUUGAGCAAGUUCGAGGAGAGAUUCUACGCAAAGAUCCUCUUCCCGAUUUGGAAGAAUGCUAUGCAUUGAUUCGACGAGAGGCAGUGCGUCAUGCUAGUAUGAAAGCAGAAUCUGACAACCCUGACACCUCAGCUAUGGUAGUCCGACAACAAUCAACCCGAAAUUGGCAGGACCAAUCCAAGACCAACUAUCCUAAGACAAACCCUAAUAUUGAUAAGUCAACCUUCAAAUGCACUCACUACAAUAAGGCUGGUCAUACCAAGAGUCGUUGCUUUGAAAUUGUGGGAUAUCCAGACUAGUGGGAUCACAAUCGUGAUCAAUGGAAGAAGGAUUCCAAGAAAACCUCAACUGCAGCUGUUGCUAAAAUAAAAACAGAGGCUAAUGUUGAUGAGAAAGCCUCUGCAUUGGUAGCCGCUACAGAUUAUGGUGGUAAGUUUUUAAAUACUUCUACACAUGUCAUUAAUAGUGCAUGGAUAAUUGAUUCUGGUGCUAUAGAUCAUAUGACUUUUGAUUCUAGACAAGUCUCACCCCUUAGACCUUCCUCACAAAAAAUUGUUUACACAGCCAAUGGUAACAUAACCCCAGUCAUUGGGGAAGGAUCCUUAACUCUUACUGAUACUUUGAAUUUGGAUUCUAUUUUAGUUGUUCCAUCCUUAAAUUACAAUCUUUUGUCAGUUUAUCAAAUCACUGCAGCCUUAUCUUGUAUUAUCAUUUUUUGGCCUGAAUGUUGUGUUUUUAAGGACAUCCAAACAAGACAGACGAUUGGUUGUGGUAUUAAGCGGGGAAAACUCUAUUAUUUGGACUUGCAGUAAAAGGAUUCAAAUAAGUUGUGACAAACCUUGAUGGCAGAUGGAUCUGAGGGGGAGAAGAAAAAGUCUGAAAUUUGGUUGUGGCAUCGACAUCUAGGAUAUGCUUCCUUUGGUUAUUUAAAAAAAUUGUUUCCUAGUUUGUUUGCAAAGAGUGAUAUUUUUGGUUUCGGUUGUGAUAUUUUUGAAUUGGCUAAAAGCCAUCGUGCUUCGUUUCCAUUAAUUUUGAAUAAAAGUCCGUCUCCUUUUAUGGUUAUACAUUCUGAUGUUUGGGGCCCAUCCAAAGUCCCAACUUUGAGUGGUUCGCGUUGGUUUGUUACUUUUAUUGAUGAUUGUACCAGAAUGACAUGGUUAUGCUUGAUGAAGACCAAAGAUGAAGUGAACUUGUUGUUUCAAAAUUUUCAUAAAAUGAUUUAAACUCAGUACAAUGCAAAGGUUCGGGUUCUGCGUAGUGAUAAUGGUGGAGAAUAUCAGAGUUUUGAUCUUCAAAAGUAUUUGGAAGGACAUGGCAGCAUUCAUCAAACUACUUGUUCCAAUACACCCCAGCAAAAUGGAGUCGCUGAACGAGAAAAUCGGCAGUUGUUAGAGGUUGUUCAUGCUUCCUUGAUAGCAGCAAAAAUACUGAUAUCUUAUUGGGGAGAAGCAAUCAGAUCUACCGCAUACUUGAUCAAUCGGGUACCUUCUAGCUCAAUUAACUUCCAAACACCUUUCCAAGCUCUUACUAAUGCCAUAGUUGCCCCAACCAUCCCAAAUCUACCUCCUCAUGUUUUUAGUUACGUUGCAUUUGUGCAUCUACACAAACACCAACGCACCAAGUUAACUUCUCAUGCAUUGCAAUGUGUGUUUGUUGGAUAUGCAUUGCACAAAAAGGGAUAUUGAUGUUACCAUCCUCCAACUCGACAAAUGUUUAUUACAAUGGAUGUGGUGUUUCAUGAAGAUUCGAUGUAUUUUUCAUCUAAGUCUGAACUUCAGGGGGAGUACCAUAAGGAAAUUCAGACUCUCAAUUAUGAUUAUCAUAUCUCUGAGGAUGAGGAAUCUGGAAAUCUGAACUAGUGAACAAGGAAGCGGGUGAGUUGGAUAUGAGUGGUCAACAAUUUGGGUCCGAAGAUGUUUUCACUGAAAUACCAAACCAAUCGUCGUCUGUUGAGGGUGUUCUUAAUUUGGAACCCGAUCCAUUCAUGAAACGGUUACCACACCAUCAUAAUAAAGGUAUUCCUAAACCCACAUAUGAACCUGAAUUGUCUACCAAAGUCAAAUAUCCCAUGAGCAACUAUGUGUCUAACCAUCGUUUGUCAGAAUCAAAUAAGUCAUUUGUAAAUCAAUUAUCUACUGUAGCAUAUUCCUAACAGUNNNNNNNNNNNNNNNNNNNNNNNNNNNNNNNNNNNNNNNNNNNNNNNNNNNNNNNNNNNNNNNNNNNNNNNNNNNNNNNNNNNNNNNNNNNNNNNNNNNNGCAACCAAUUCGAUUGUUUUGUGAAAAUAAAGCCGCAUGUGACAUUGCUAAUAAUCUAGUACAACAUGAUCGUACAAAGCAUGUCGAGGUGGAUAGAUUCUUUAUUAAGGAAAAGUUGGAUGACAAGAUUGUGGAAUUGCCUAAGAUUCGAUCAGAAGAUCAAUUGGCCGAUAUCCUCACCAAAGCUGUCUCAAGUCAAGUAUUCUAAAAAAUUUUAGACAAGUUGGGCAUGUGUGACAUCUAUGCACCAACUUGAGGGGGAGUGUUGAGAUAUUAGGAAUGCUUUCCUUAUAUCAUUCUUUCCUUAUGUCAUUCAGUGUUGGGAUAUUAGGAAUGUUUAGAUAUUAGGAAAGUUGAGAUAUUAGGAAUAUUGAGAUAUUAGGAAAGUUGAGAUAUUAGGAUAUUAGUUGUUAUUUCCUUAUAUUAUUCUUUCCUUGUAUCAUUAUUUCUCAUUCUUAGAAUGGUGAUUACCCUCUAUAUAUACUCUGUACAUGAAAAAAUGAAAGUAUGAAUGAAAAACUACCAUUCAUCAAUUUGAAGACUACUUCAUGUUCAACACUUUAAAAAAAAUGACGAUGUCAGGUGUGGUGUUGAAUACAGGAUGAAAAUGAGGAGCACGAUGGUGAGAUAAGUGGAUUGACGGGCAUUAAAAAGAAUGGUGACAUGUAUGGGUAUGGAAAAUGUGGAUCAUGAGUGGUUGAAGGAAAUGGUGAAAACGGUGGGAAAGAUAAAGUUGUGUGCAUAGUAAGGGUGUUGGCUGCUUGCAGUGGGUAAGAUUGAUGAAGAAAAUGGGCAUGAUGAGUAGGAGGUGCAGAGCAAUGAAGAUGACCUUGCAUAGGGGAAAAAGUGUGGUGGAGAAAUGGGAAGAAUGAAAACAGGUAGUGAGAGAAACAGAAAUGAAAGGUGAUCAUGCAUGCAUGAGGAUAGAUGGGUAGCGAAGGAAGUGGGUUUACAGGGUGCUGAAAGAAAUGGGUGUGUAGGUUGAAUGGAAGGUGGAGAUGUGGGGCGUGGUGACGGGUAUGAUUGACGGGCUCGGUGGGUAUGAGAAGAAGGAAGAUUGGAUAAUAGGAGAAAUGGGUAUGGAAGAUGGCCAUGUUUGCAUGAUUCCCAUGCAUGUGUGGAGCUUCAGGCGUGCACGUGAGAAAUGAUAGAAAUGAGGUAAAGGUUGGUUGGAUGAAUGAUGAGGGNNNNNNNNNNNNNNNNNNNNNNNNNNNNNNNNNNNNNNNNNNNNNNNNNNNNNNNNNNNNNNNNNNNNNNNNNNNNNNNNNNNNNNNNNNNNNNNNNNNNNNNNNNNNNNNNNNNNNNNNNNNNNNNNNNNNNNNNNNNNNNNNNNNNNNNNNNNNNNNNNNNNNNNNNNNNNNNNNNNNNNNNNNNNNNNNNNNNNNNNNNNNNNNNNNNNNNNAUGGUAUAGGAGAAACGAGCAUGGGGUUGGUAAGAUGGGUUAGUGUGGCCAUGUAUGGCCAUGCAAAGGUGGGAAGCAAUGAGAUUGAGAAGAGUGAAAACGGGUAGAGAGAAAAAUGGGUAUGAAAGAUGAGUAUGUGAGGAUUGAAAAUGGAAUGAGGUGUGAAAGUUUUAGAAACUAGGUUUCAGAAAACCAAUAUUUCUCAUUGUCUAUUACGAAAAGAUGAUAAGUGCUUGUACACUGAUGUUUUUUAUAUUUAUAUCUACAACAACCUAACUAACUAACUUCCUACUUCAAGACGUUCUUAACCAGCUUUUGUUUGUUGCAGUUGACCCUGGUUUGUUGCAGCUGAUCUCGGUUUGUUGUAGCUGACCCUGGACAGUUACUUUCUUGUUGAUUAGCUAGGUAUUGUCUAUCAUCCCCCCGCAAGCUCAUAGGGGAGGGAACAACAGAAAGCUUCGUUCUAAAACUAAGGAACUGGGAGCUUGAAAUAUUUUUAGUGAAAAUGUCAGCAACCUAUUCAGAGGAAGGAAGAUACUGAAUGAUGAGCUGUUUACGAAGAACGUGAUCCCAUAUAAAGUGAAGAUCCAUUUCAAUGUGUUUGGUCCUAGCAUAGAACAUGGGAUUUGCAGCCAAGUGAGCUGCACUUUUAUUAUCACACCAAAGUAGAGGUGGAGAGGAGGAAAGAGACAAAGUUCCUAUAAAACAUAUUGAAUCCAAAUAAUCUCCGAAGUAGCAGACGUAAGAGCACGAUACUCAGAUUCUGCACUGCUGCGAGACACAACCUUUUGUUUCUUGGAAGACCAUGACACUAAAUUCGGACCAAGGAAGAUGCCAUAGCCACCAGUGCUUCUUUGUCAUCUGAACAAGAUGCCCAGUCGACAUCAGUAUAUCCAUGAAUAUCCAACGAGGUGGACUACUGCAUUUGAAUGACAUAGGAUAAAGUGCCUUUGAGAUAUCGCAAAAUCCGUUUCACAGAAAGUUAGUGAGUAGUAGUGGGCGUAGCCAUGAAUUGACAAGCUUUAUUAACGACAAAAGAAAUGUCCAGUCUGGUAAGGAUAAGAUACUAAAGCGCACCAACCGUGUUGCGAUAUAAGGCGGCAUCCGAGAGAGGUUCACCAUUAAGAUGAGAUAACAUUUGUCCUAACAAUCCCGGAGUAGUAGCAGGGUUGGGGUCUAACAUGGCUAUGCGAGUUAAAAGGUCUUGUAUGUACUUGUGCUGACUGAGAUGAAACAUAGUACCAUAACGAACGACUUCAAUGCCCAGAAAAUAAUUGACAUAGCCCAGGUCACGAAGAGCAAAAGAAGAAUUGAGUUGAGUAAUAAAUGAGGAAACCUAAGCUGAAUUGCUACCAGUUACUAGUAUGUCGUCUACAUAAAUGAGUAAAAUAAGGACAUCAUGUGUUGAAUGAUGAAUAAAUAUCGAGCUGUCAGCUCGAGAAGCUUGAAAUCCCCAGCCAAGAAGUGAAGUGUUGAGUUUGGUAUACUAUGCCCGGGGGGCCUGCUUAAGGCCAUAUAAAGCCUUGUUAAGCUUGCAAACAUGAGAAGGAAAUUGAGAAUUGAUAAAGCUUGGGGGUUGAUGCAUAAACACAUGCUCUUCAAGAUCUCCAUGGAGAAAGGCAUUCUAAACAUCAAGUUGGUGAACUGACCAUUUAAAUGAGAGUGCAACUGCAAGUAUAAUACGGAUAGUAGAAGCCUUGACAACUGGACUAAAAGUCUCAAAAUAAUCGAGAACCAGAGUUUAAGUAAAUCCUUGUGCAACUAUCCGGGCCUUAUAACGAUCAACUGUUCCAUCGGGUUUAUAUUUGAGUUUGUAGACCCAUUUGCAACCAAUUAUAUUGCCAUUGGAGGGUGGUGGAACAAGAUGCCAUGUGAUGUUUCUUUGGAGAGAAAAAAACUCUUUUUCCAUGGCAAGAACCCAAUUUGAAUCUUUAACAGCCUAUGUGAAUGUAGUAGGUUCAGAAAUGUGAGAUGAGAAGUAGGCCUUCUUCUUGCUAAUGCCAUUCUUUGCAUGUGUGACCAUGGGAUGCUGAUUAGUAGGGUGAGGUUCAAAAGUGGAGAUGUUAGCAAAAGGAACUUGUAUCAGGUUUGGUAAAGAAGUAGUGGAGGAAGGCAUAUUAGUUAAUGGUGGGCUUGAAGUGGAAGGAGUUGUAUGGGAAGGUAGUGAGGACAUGGGAGGAGAUGAGCAAGGAAGAAGGGCUGGAGUGGGGAAAAUAACUACAUAUGAGAUUGAUCCAGAGUAGACUGAAAUGGGAACACCGUUUCAUGAAACACAACAUGCCUAGUAACAUAGAGACGGACUGACAAGGGGUCAAGACACAUAUAGCCUUUGUGAUCGAAACUAUAGCCAAGGAAGACGCAUUGAUUGGAGCGAUAGGAGAGUUUAUUUUUGUUGUAUGGUCGAAUAUAAGGGUAGCAUAAGCAACCGAAAAUUUUAAAGAUGUGAUAAUUUGGUGAUUUGAUAAAAAGAAUUUGAAAAUGAGAUUGAUAAUUGAGAACCUUAGUAGGUAGCUGAUUUAUAAGGAAAAUAGUUGUAUGAAAUGCAUAUAGCCAAAACUUGAAAGGUAAUGAUGCGGUGGCUAAUAAAGCAAGACCAAUUUCAAUUAUAUGUCGUAAUUUGCGCUUUGCUCGACCAUUCUGUUCAGGUGUGUAUGGACAAGAAAACUGACUUUUAAUACCAUGCAUAGCAAGAUAUGAAGAGAAGGCUUUAAAUUCACCACAAUAAUCAGACUGUAAACAUUGUAUCCGAGAAUUAAACUGAUUUUCAACUAGACUUUUGAACUUUAUGAAUACAGAUAAUGCUUGAUCUUUGUUGUGCAAUGGAUAAAUCCAAGAGAAACGAGAGAAAUCAUCAACAAACAAAAUGAAGUAGCGUGCACCAGUUGUGGACGGAAUGGAAGCAAGGCCCCAAAGAUCAGCAUGAAGUAAAGCUAAAGGAUGAGAAGCUCUAGAAACAGACACAUUGAAAGGCAAUUUAUGACUUUUUGCAAAUUGACAAGCACAAUAGACGUUGUUUUUAUGGCAUUUAUGUGAAAUAUUACAAGAGGUAAGAAUGUGUAAAGAGAUUUGCAUCCCCUCAAGUGUUGAGGUGAGAUUCAUUGGAAGGACACGAGAUGCUACAUCAUGGAUGUAGAAUGCAAUGUAAGCAAGCAUUGGAGAGUAAGUCUUAAGGUAAUGUUUUGCAAGUAAAUCUACUUAUUACAUUAGCAUAUAAUGGAAUAUAGAUUUAAAGUCUCUAACCUAACUCAUUGGUUUUUUUUUUUUUUUUUUUUUUUAUCUCUACACAUUGUGAGAAGGUUUUCUACAUAAAAAACUCUUUUUCAAUCUUAUGUUUGAUUGUUUUUUAGGCUUCUCUAAUUUAGAAUUGAGAUAGUUUAAUAAUUAAAUAUAUUUAAUUUAAGGCUUAAAAGGGUUAAACACCUAUUCACCCCUAGGUGUCAUACUAUAUCAAAUAACUUUCAAUGUUGGUGAAGUUUCUUCUUCAAAAGAGCUUUAACACGUGAUUGUUCUUCAAGGGAGCUUCCAAAGAGCUCAAGGGGCCUUUUUCUUAUCCAAUGUUUUAAUCUCACUCUCAACCAAUGGUAAAAGAAUAAACUUAAUCAUUAAAGAUUAAAGCUAACCAUGAAAGUAUCCAACUCACCUCGACAUAUGUUUUGGAUUUUUUUCAAGAAAGAAUGCAAGAGAGAUGAUUGAGAUGCUUCUAAGAGGAGAGUGUGAGGACAUAUAAAGGACAUUUUGUGCAAGUAAAGAAUCAUUUAUUUUCCAAGGAGAUAUACUUGCUUCUUCACUGAACUGGGAAUGGAUUUAAAUAGCUCCAUUGGGAAUGUAAAUGAAUAAAUAAAAGAAAAGAAAAAUGUGUCCAACAAUUUAUUGAAACCGUAAAGUGGAAGUAAUACAAGACCAUAAUGGGAAAUCCCACAUAUGUAGUAGUAUUUGGGCUUUGUAGUAUUGAAACUUUGGUAUAAGAAAUUUGAAAAUACUUCUAUAUAAUUAUUUUUUUUAAAAAAGUAGAAUAAGUUAGUCCUUUCGACAUAAUUGAGGCAUUAAAUUUUAAGCACUCUAAAAUUAUAAUCUUUACAAAUAAUAAAGAAGUUUUUGUAUCGAGACCAACUGAAUAUGAUUUGUAUGUUCUUAAUUUUCAUUUUCUUAUCUUUUGUCUUCCUAUACCUACAAGCCUAUUUAGAGAAAGACCUUUUAUCAAAAAAUGAGAGCUUAGAGUUAUUUCCCUCUGAAAAGAGAGUGGAUCAGAAGAUCUUUAUUGAAUAUAGGGUUUCUUCUAAAAUGAGAUGAAGUAAAUUAGCAACUCUGAACAAUCUAAAGGAAAAGGAAUUUGAGUUAAGUUGAUGGGGCGUAUGACACUUUAUUGGGACUUUAAAAGAUAUUUUCUCUUUCACGCUAUCCUUUGAAAUUGAGUUGUGUCCGCUUUCAACUUAAUUUUUUUCUCUCUGUUUUUCUAAUGAAAAUAUAUCUUUUGUUGGGGGAAAUAUUUUGUUGAAUAUAUAUAUUCAAAUGGAAGGUAAACGAAAAAAAAGUGAUAAAAAAUGGGUGUGAUGAAAUUUCAAAUUAUUAAUCAUCAUAUGUAUUUAACCUAAAUCCUAAAAAAGUGAAUGAAAUUAACUCAUUAAAUUUGUUAAAUACCACUUUUUAUAAAUAAAUUUUGAAUCAUGUAGCAUUCAAAACAAAAAUUUUGUAAAAGAUAUAAUUAACGAUAACAUGAAAUUAUUAAAAUAUUUAAAAUUAAAUAAUAUAAAGAAACAAUAAAAUGGUUCAUUUAUGUUGUUAGAACCUUUGUUUUAAAAACUGGUCGCUCCGAUCAGUCGGAUGGUCCAUCAAUGCCCUUUCCAGUCCGAUCUAGGGAAAUGGACAUAGACAACUGACAAUCAGACCAUCAACCAUUCUUCAUGGACCGGUCAAGGUCAAAACCUAAAUGGGUUUGCCCAAAUCCAUUCAUUCCUAACCUAUGUGCUUGUUCCCAAGGUUUGCAAGUAUAAAUACCCAUCUAUUGGCCUAAAUUCAUUCAUUUCAAGCCCAUUUGCUUGUUCUCAAGGUCUACAGGUAUAAAUACCCUAUAAGUGGUUUAUAGAUUUCCGAUGUGGGAUGAGUUUUGAUAAUAAUGAAAGGAGCUUUGCAUGGUAGGGAAUUGAACCUAGGACUUAUUUUUAACAAAAUGAUAGCACACCACUAUGCUACAAAGCUAUUUGAUUAAUAAUUUGAUAAAUAUCUAUAUCUCUGUUUUUUAAUUUCUAUCAUAUAAAACAUUUAAACAAAUAUAAAUAUUUAUAUCUACUAUUACUUUUAUAAUAAUUAUUAAUUAUAAACAUGAAAAUAAUAUAAAUUAAUCAAUAUAAUAAUUUUUAAAAUUUUAAAAUAACAAAAUACAUAGAUAUAUAAUUAAAUUAAAUAUUAUAAUUUUCUUUUCAUAUUUAAAUAUUAUACAGAUUCUAUUUAAUAAAAUUUAAUAUAUUAAUACAUUUAUAUUUAUAUUUAUCAUUUAAUUUGACAUAUUGAACAUAAAAAAUAAAAUAUUAUUAAAAAAAUUUAAUAAAAUAUAUUUUAAUUUAUUAUAAUUUUAUUAAAAUAUAAAUUAUAUAUUUAUAAUGUCAUUGAUUCGAUCGCGGUUUGACCAUUGGUUCAACUAGUGAAUCGUGAACUAGUAACUUUUUCGGUUCAAUAUUCGGUCCGAUUUUGAAAACAUUAGUUAAAACUUUUUUAUUUAUAGAAAAUGCUAAUUAUGCUUUAAAGUUGUAGGAUGUUAAAAGCCCAAAUACAUACCUACAUAUUUUCUUAUUUAUCUCCUAGUAUCUUUACCAAGUGAUAGAUAUAUUGGUGGCCAAGCAUUGUCAUCAUCAUUAUUUAUCUCCUAACAUCUUUAUGAAGUGAUUGGUGUAGGAAGAGUGUAAAUAAUUUUUAUUUUUACUUUAUUUUAUUCAAUUAGUUUUAUAUUUUCUGGGAAGAUUCCUAUUGGGAAUUAUUUUUAUUUUAUUUUAUUCUAUUAGUCUUAUAUUUUUGGGAAGAGUCCUAUUGGGAUUGUGCUAGUGGAGUCCCAUUCCUUUUAUAAGUAGAAUCCCCUUCCACUUUGAGUCAUGUUUUGAUUACAAGUAGAUUCCCAUUAGGACUGUGUUAGUGGCCUAUAAAAGCAGGUCACCUUUCACUCUCUAUAUACCAAUACCAAUUUUUCAAAGAAUUUUUCAUAGAGUUUUUCAAAGAGUCUUUUCAUACAUCUAUCUAGAUGAUUUUUUUCAAAAACCCGAGUUGUAUACAUCUCGCUUACAGAGUGCACCCAAGGCGAGAUCUGGGUGUUGAAUCCCGGAGAUAGACCAUUGGUACCUUAGUGUACCGAAUUUGUCUUCGAGGAGGGUGGAUCUAUUUCAAGGAUAGUGUUUGUCAUGCCUCAGUCAAUAAGUUUUUCUUAUUAAUUAUGUUCUUUGUUUGUGUCUUUUGGGCUAGUCAUUUGUUUCCAUACCCUUAAUCCAACAAUCUUGAAAUAUAUCCAAAUGUAAGCUUCUCUAGUUCACACCUGUCCUGACACCUCUAAAAUUGAUCCCUUCAAUGGCAUAUUCUUUAAGAGAUGGCAACAAAAGGUUUUAUCUGCAAUUGAUGUAGUGAACUUGGAACACAUUUUGAUUGACCCAAUACCAGAAGAUGGUUAUCAUUUGUUACCAACCUGGGAAUCCGGAAAUAAACAAGUUAGCAUGCUAUUCUAAGUACCCUUUCUAAUGAACUUUUUGAUAUUUAUUGUCAAUUUAAAGUUGCAAAAGAAAUUUGGGAUGCAAUAAAUAAAAAAUAUAGUUUGAAAAAUGCAGGAACUCAGAAAUAUGCCAUAGGGAAUUUUAAAAUUUUCCAAAUGACUGAGGAUAGAGAUGUAUCAUCUCAAAUCCAUGACUACCACUUGUUGAUUAAUGACUUAGCUAUUGAAGACAUUAAAUUACCCGAACCUUUUGUAGCUGGUUAUUUAGUAGAGACUUUUCUAGAGUCUUGGAAAAACUAUAAAAAUAACAUGAAACAUAAAAGGAAACAAAUGUCUCUAGAGGAUGUCAUAAUCCAUAUUAAGAUUGAGGAACAAAACCGAAAUAGGGACAAUGCUGAGAAAGUUAAGGAAUUGUCUUCUAAGGCUAAUGUAGUAGAAGAAAAACCUAAACCCAAAAACAAUAGGUUCAGGAAACAAAACUCUAGGAACAUCCCAUGCAUCAAACAAGAUCCAAAACCCAACUAUUAAAAAAAAAAGAAAAAAGAGUAAGGAUCUUGUUUGACUUUAAUAAAAUAGUUUUAACCAAGAAUGAUGCAUUUGUGGGGAAGGGCUAUUGUAAUAAGGGUUUAUUUAUGUUGAAUGUUUCUAAUAUUAUCAAUAAUAAUGCAUCUUCUUCUUUUUCUGCUUACGUAGUUGAUUCUUGUGAUAUUUGGCAUGGUAGACUAGGACAUGUGAACUUUUCAUAUCUGAAGAAAAUGGUUGAAUUGAGUUUAAUCCCUAAAUUGUCCUUAGAAAACCAUGGAAAAUGUGAAUCUUGUGUAGAAUCUAAAACCACAAAGAAAUCUUGUAAAUCAGUUAAAAGAGAAUCAGAUCUACUAAGUUUAAUACACAGUGACUUAGAAAACCUAAAAAAUACAAUGACUAGAGGUGGUAAACAAUUCUACAUAACUUUCAUAGAUGACUACUCAAGGUAUACAAGGGUAUAUUUUUUGAGAAACAAAGAUGAAGCAAGAUAUGCUUUCAUCAAGUACAAAAAUGAAGUGGAAAAUCAACUAAGUAAGAAAAUUAAAAGACUUAGAACUGAUAGGGGAAGAGAGUAUGAGUCCAACCCCUUUAAUUCUUUUUGUGAAGAUCAUGAGAUCAUUCACAAAACUACUCCUUCUUAUUCCCUUGAGUCUAAUGGAGUAGCAAAAAGGAAAAAUAGGACCUUAAAAGAAAUGAUGAAUGCAAUGUUGGUAAGUUCAGGAGCACCCUUGAAUUUGGGGGGGGGGGGGGGGGGGGGGNNNNNNNNNNNNNNNNNNNNNNNNNNNNNNNNNNNNNNNNNNNNNNNNNNNNNNNNNNNNNNNNNNNNNNNNNNNNNNNNNNNNNNNNNNNNNNNNNNNNAUAUUCAAUAUAGAAUACCUUAUAAGAAAACUGGAAAAACUCCUUAUGAGUUGUGGAAGGGUUAUGUACCUAAUAUAGCAUACCUGAAAGUGUGGGGGUGUUUAGCUAAAGUUCUUUUCCCUAAACCUAAAAAAUGAAAACUAGGUCCUAAAACCUUUGAUGCAAUGUUCAUUGGCUAUGUUGAGAAUAGUGCGACAUAUAGGUUUCUUGUUACUAAGUCAGAAAACAGUCUUGUAGAUGUCAAUACUAUAAUGGAAACAAGGAGUGCAGAUUUCUUUGAAAACAUCUUUCCUAUGAAACUAAAUGGUGAACAACAAGUUUAGAAAACAAGUAGAGACAAGUCUAUUGAACUUUCUGAAUUUGAACCUAGAAGGAGUCAAAGUGAUAGGAAAGAAACAAACCUUGGAGAUGGUUUCUACACCUUCCUAAUAGAUGAGGACCUUGAUCCUAUAAAGAAGCUACAACUUUUCCUGAUGCACCAUUCUGGAAUGAGGCCAUUAAUAAUGAAAUCGAAUCAAUCAUGUAUAACCAUACAUGGGAGUUAGUAGAUUUACCUCCUGGUGCAAAGACUGUUGGCUGUAAGUGGAUCUUUAAAAGAAAGUUAAAACAUGAUGGGUCCAUAGAGAAGUAUAGAGCUCAUUUAGUUGCCAAAGGCUUUAAACAAAGGAAGGAUGUAGAUUACUUUGACAACUUUGCCCCUGUGACUAGAAUAACAUCAAGUAGAGUAUUGAUCGCUUUAGCUUCCAUUCAUAAUUUGGUUAUACACCAAAUGGAUGUCAAGACUAUAUUCUUGAAUGGGGAUUUGGAAGAGGAAAUUUAUAUGGAACAACCUGAGGGUCGUGUAGUUCCAAGGAAGAAGAAAAAGGUGUGUAAGUUGGUUAAAUCACUAUAUGGGUUAAAACAAGCUCCCAAACAGUGGCGCAACAAGUUUGAUCAUGUGUUAGUAACUAAUGGAUAUUCCAUUAAUGAUGUUGAUAAGUGUAUCUAUAGUAAGUAUGAGGAUAACACAUGUGUAGUCAUCUACCUUUAUGUUGAUGACAUGUUGAUCUUUGGAACUAGCUUAGAGGUGGUGUGUGAGACCAAGAAAUUCCUAGGUCCUAUGUUUGAUAUGAAAGACCUAGAAAAGGCAAAGGUGAUUCUAGGAAUUAAAAUAACUAGACCACUAAUGAGCUUAAACUUUCUCAAGAGCACUAUGUUGAAAAAAUCCUAAGGAAGUUUGAACACUUUUAUUGUAAACUAGUGUCAACUCCUUAUGAUCCCAUCUCACUGCUGAAGAAAAAUAGAGAACAUAGUGUUGCCAAAUAGAACAUGCUCAGAUCAUAGGGAGCCUAAUGUACUUUAUGAACUAUACCAGACCUGACAUUGCUUAUGCAGUAGGUAGAUUGAGUCGAUACACCCAAAGUCCUAAUCAGGACCAUUGGACUUUUGUUCGUAGAGUCCUUAAGUAUUUGAGAGGCACUAUUAACUAUGGUUUGUGCUUUGUGGAUUUCCAAGUGUCCUUGAAGGAUUUAGUGAUGCAAAUUGGAUCUCAGAUUCAGAUGUGAUGAAAUCCACUAAUGGAUAUGUUUUCAUCUUUGGUGGAAGUAUAGUUUCUUGGAAGUCUACCAAUCAAACUUGCAUUACUCGGUGUACUAUGGAGGCUAAGUUUAUUGUCUUAGAAAAUGCAAGUUUUGAGGCUGAGUGGCUUAGAAACCUCUUAGCAUAUAUCCCUUUAUGGACAAGACCAACCCUAUCUGUGUCUAUGCGUUGUGAUAGCCAAGCUACAAUUGCUAAGGCUAAGAGUAAAAAUAUUUAAUGGGAAUAAUAGGCAUAUACGGCUAAGGCACAAUAUUGUGCGGUAGCUUCUUGAAACAGAGGUUAUAUCCCUAGAAUUUGUGAGGUCAGAGUUGAAUUUGGUUGAUCCUUUUACCAAACCACUAAAUAAGAAACUAGUAGAAGAAACAUCAAGGGGGAUGAGGCUUAUGCCUAUUACAGAAUUCAAGAGUGGUGGUAACCCAACCUAUUAGAAUGGAAAUUCCAUGAAGUAGGUUCAUAUGGGUAAUAACAAAUCACUUGUUGACUUGAGGUGCUAUAUCAACUCUAAUUGUAUGAGAGUCUAUCCAUAUGGUGUAGAUAGAUUGUAUUCUAUAUUGAUUAAGGUUGAGUGUUUACUCUUAAUGAAUACCAUAUUCCUUAUGGAUGGUAUGUUUAAAUGCAUAACAUACUUGAUGGAUUCACCUAUAUGAGAGUGGAGGUGGGGCCCCUUCCUAUGAGAACUUAGGUAGUUUCUCUAAAACUCUCAUGAAUAUCCAGGUAGGGCGCAUGGCCUAUUUGUGCCAACCUGUUUUGUACAACUCGUAGUGUAGUUGAGAAAACCAAUGUAGAUAAAAGUCCAUUGAGUUACAUCAAGAAACAUUGGUUCAUAGAAAUUUAUUUUCACCCUAUUUUGUGAUUCAAUACUUAUUUGUCCUAAGACUAGUUCAUAGCCUUUGGGCACCAGUACUGAUGCAUUGGAUUAUUUUUUCCUCAAAUAAAUAAAUAAUCACGUUUACACUUUGUGGGGGAUUGUAGGAAAAGUGUAAAUAAUUUUUAUUUUUAUUUUAUUUUAUUUUAUUAGUCUUAUAUUUUUGGGAAAAGUCCUAUUGGGAUUGUACUAGUGGAGUCCCAUUCCUUUUAUAAGUAGAAUCCCCUUCCACUCUGAGUCAUGUUCUGAUUACAAGUAGAUUCUCAUUGGGACUGUGUUAGUGUCCUAUAAAAGCAGGUCACCCCUCACUCUUUAUAUAUCAAUACCAUUUUUCCAGAGAAUUUUUUAGAGAGUUUUUCAAAUAUUCUUUUCAUACAUCUAUCUAGAAGAAUUUUUUCAAAACCCCGAGUUGUACACAUCUCGCAUACAGAGUGCACCCAAGGCAAGAUCUCGGUGUUGAAUCCUAGAGGUAGACCACUGGUACCCUAGUGCACCGAAUUCGUCUUUGAGGAGGGUGGAUCUAUUUUAAGGACAGUGUUUGUCACGCCUCAGCCGAUAAGUUUUUCUUCUUAUUAAUUAUGUUCUUUGUUUGUCUUUGGGGCUAGUAAUUUGUUUCCAUACCCUUAAUCCAACAAUAGGUAUAUGGGUGGCCCAAUCAUCAUCAUCAUUAUCAUCAUCUUUAAGAAGUGUAAGAUAAAUUUCCACAAUAUUAUAACUAUUCAAGCUAUACACUACAAUCUAACAUAUUACAUUAAAAAAAAAAAAAUCAUAAGUAGCUAGAUUCAAGAGGUAGUGUAAAACAUACCAUGUUUUAACCAAGUGUAGCUUCCAAUUCUUAUGUAAAAGUCUAUUUAUUACAAGAAAUUAAAAAAGGAAAAGGAUUAAAAUCUUAAAAACAUGGCAAUAAUAAAACCUUAGCAAAUAUCUAUUUGAAACUAUGUCAAAAUUUGCCUCAAAUUAACUUUUGAAUUAACUUUACUAUUAUUAUUGUUGGUGCAUAACCUUUUCGGAUGUGAUGAUCUAGUGACUAUCCAAGUCGCUAGCCAAUCUUCUAAUGUCACCUCCUCUGUUGGUGGAUGUCUUGGCUCUCUAGGAAAAUGAUCCCAUUUUUUCCAUGUUCUUUUUCCUCCUUUAUAGGCUUGAGUUAGAUGUUGGAGGUUGCGUGACAUACACGAUUAGCUUAGUAGGUUUGUGUCAGGCGGCGUGUGGCCAACUAGCCCUAAUGCUUCCUAUUGAUGUGAUAAGAUGAGGUUUUCCUUUGAGAUUUCUUCAUCAUACACAUCUUGUUGUUGCCUUCAGUAUUUGUGCUACGUGAUCAAUUUUGGUGGUGCGACAACUUCUUCCUAGUGACCAAUUUUUAAUUUUUCUAAGAUCGAUUGGGGUAGGCUCUCAUAUCAUUGUCUCAGAUCAUUGUAGGUUUAAAUGGAGUUAUGAUGGCUUCUCAACCUCAAGAUAAUAUUCAACUGAUAUAACAUCAGGGUACCCCUUCUCGCAAAAAUUCGGCACCCUCGAGAGGCAGCUUUUGUAGCAAUAUUCGUCAUCCCCAACCUAAACAAGUAGGUAGACCCACAAGUUGGUUGACUUCUAUAGUUGGUACCUUUAAUGCCCCAUUUCUUCGCGACCAAGUAGAUUUGGGACGACGUGCGUCGAGAGCUACUUGGGUUUGAAACCUCUGUGUUGCGGUCCUAGGAAGAUGGUAGGUCAUACAUGCAUCACCUUGAGGAGUGGCAACACUAGGGGAUUUUCACAAGACGGCACAACGUGCACAACCAUUUUUUGAUUUUUCUUUGGGAAUUUUGCUUUGUUUAGGAACUUUGCUAAAAUGGGCACUUAACCUUGAUGAACAUUUUUCCUAGAUGGACACUCAGCCUUGGUGGGCAUUUCGCCUAGAUGGGCGCUUGGCCUUGAUGGACAUUUUGCCUGGAUAGGCACUUGGCCUUGAUAGGUAUUUGCCUAGAUGGGCAUGUCACCUUGUUGGGCACUUGGCCUUGAUAGACAUAUCAUCUAGAUGGGUGUUUUGCCUUGAUGGGCACUUGGCUCUGAUGAGCAUUUUGCCUAGAUGGGUAUUUUGCCUUCUUUGAUAUUUCGUAGGUUGGAACUCUAUAGGUUGUAGGGUUGUGUUUUGGGUUCUAUUUUCCAGGCACACAUGUGUAGGGGUAGGGAAAUGCUGCCUUUCCGCCUGGUUUUAGCUCCAGAUGUGCUUAUUGCCAUGCCACAAUUUUUUUCUCGGGACUUGAGUAUGCUUGUAAGUAUUGUUUUGCUUCUUCUUGUUGUGUUUAAGGGUAAGUUGAGUUUUUUUUCGUACUCUUACAUUUUCUCUCCAUCUUUCUUUGUCUUUAUUCUGUUGUGCAGAUGAAGUGUUGCAUCAAGGAUUUUAGUAGGUGAAAGGGUGAGUUUCACUACCACAUUGCUGAAACUGACUAACUGAGGCAAGUCGGGUACUUCUUUUGCACCUAAGGCUUUUGGUCGAGUGCUUCUUGGAACCUAAGGCUAUGGUCGGGUGCUGUUUAGCACCUAAGGCUUUUUGGUUGAGUGCUUCUUUGGCACUUAAGACUUUGUUGGGUACUAUGCUUGGUUGGGUACUACUUGGGCACCCUAGGCUUUGUUGGGCACUAGGCCCAGUUGGAUGCCACUUGGGCACCUUAGGCUUUAUUGGGCUUUAAGCCUGGUUGGGUGCUACUUGGGCACCUUAGGCUUUGUUGGGCACUAGGCCUAGCCAGGUGCUACUUGGGCACCCUAGGCUUUAUUGGGCUCUAAGGUUGGUCGGGUGCUACUUGGGCACCUUAGGCUUUGUUGUGCUCUAGGCCCAGCUAGGUGCCACUUUAGCACCUUAGGCUUUAUUGGGCUCUAAGCCUGGUCAAGUGCUACUUGGGCACCUUAGGCUUUAUUGGGCAGCCUAGGCUUUAUUGGGCUCUAAGCUUGGUCGGGUGCUAUUGGGCACCUUAGGCUUUAUUGGGCUUUGAACUUGGCCAGGUGGUAAUUGGGCACCUUAGGCUUUGUUGGGCUUUAGGCCUGGGUGGGUGGUAAUUGGGCACCCUAGGCUUUAUUAGGCUUUAGCCUUGGGUGGGUGGUAAUUGGGCACCUUUGACUUUGUUAUGCUUUGGCCCUAGUUGGGUGGUAAUUGGGCACUUUAGGCUUUGUUAAGCUUUAGGCCUGGUUGGGUGGUAUUUAGACACCUUAGGCUUUUUGGGUUUAAUGGUUUUUCAUACCUAAAAGUUUUUUUUUUUUUUUUUUUUUUUUUUUUUUUUUUUUUUUUUUUNNNNNNNNNNNNNNNNNNNNNNNNNNNNNNNNNNNNNNNNNNNNNNNNNNNNNNNNNNNNNNNNNNNNNNNNNNNNNNNNNNNNNNNNNNNNNNNNNNNNUUGCUUCCCCAUUUGGGGAUCUUUGCUUUUAGAUGGAUUAGGCCAUUUGGUAAGACUGGGAAGUUCUUCUUUGGUAGUGUCACCAGCGCCUCUUUGUCCACUGAUAGCGUUUGGGCAGUUGCAUCGAGUCAGGCCACCAAGAUCUAGUUCUCCCUUUUGAUUCAUUUAACAGUUCUUCUUAGUUUGUCCAGCUACCUCGAUACUUUGUUAGCUACAAUUCAGUUGUUUGUUGUGGCCACUCAUAAGUUGUUGGGGUGACACACUCACCAUCAAUGUAGUUAGCUGCCAAUGUAGUCACCAUGGUUGGCUUUUGUUUCAUUCCCAUAGACAAUGCCAAUUGUUGGUGCACAACCUUUCUGGAUGUGAUGAUUUGGUGACUAUCUAGGUUGCUAGCCAAUCUUCUAUUGUCACCUCCUUUAUUGGUGGGUGUCUUGGUUCUCUAGGAAAAUGAUAUAUAUAUUUUUUUCUUGUUCUUCUUCCUCCUUUCUAGGCUAGAGUUAGACGUUGGAGGUUGUGUGGAGUACAUGAUUAGCUUGGCAGGUUUGUGUUAGGCAGUGUGUGGCCGACUAUCCCUGACGCUUCCUGUUGAUGUGACAAGAUUAUGUUUUCCUUAGAGAUUUGUUCCUCAUACAUGUCUUAUGGUUGCCUUUGGUAUUCAUGCCACAUGAUCCAUGUUGGCAGCCUAAAAACUUCUUCCCAGUGACCAAUUUUUUAGUUCUUCUAGGAUCAAUUGGGGUGGGCUCUCAGAUCACUGUAGGUUUAAACAAAGUCAGGAUGACUUCUCGAUCGGGAGACAAUAUUCAGCCGAUACAACAUCCGGGUACCCCUUCUCGGCAAAAUUCGGCACCCUUAGGAGGCAGCUUUUAUAGCGAAAUCUGCCACCCUCAACCCGAGUAAGCAGGUAAACCCACAGGUUGGUUGGCUUCUAUGGUUUGUACCUCCAAUUAUAAUGGAAGUAUAAAUUUUAAAAAGAUUCAGUGAUUGUAGGAUUCAAUUCUAAUGCUCUUAUAGUAGCCAAGGGUCCUCGAACUCAUGGUAGCACGCAGACAUGUCNNNNNNNNNNNNNNNNNNNNNNNNNNNNNNNNNNNNNNNNNNNNNNNNNNNNNNNNNNNNNNNNNNNNNNNNNNNNNNNNNNNNNNNNNNNNNNNNNNNNNNNNNNNNNNNNNNNNNNNNNNNNNNNNNNNNNNNNNNNNNNNNNNNNNNNNNNNNNNNNNNNNNNNNNNNNNNNNNNNNNNNNNNNNNNNNNNNNNNNNNNNNNNNNNNNNNNNNNNNNNNNNNNNNNNNNNNNNNNNNNNNNNNNNNNNNNNNNNNNNNNNNNNNNNNNNNNNNNNNNNNNNNNNNNNNNNNNNNNNNNNNNNNNNNNNNNNNNNNNNNNNNNNNNNNNNNNNNNNNNNNNNNNNNNNNNNNNNNNNNNNNNNNNNNNNNNNNNNNNNNNNNNNNNNNNNNNNNNNNNNNNNNNNNNNNNNNNNNNNNNNNNNNNNNNNNNNNNNNNNNNNNNNNNNNNNNNNNNNNNNNNNNNNNNNNNNNNNNNNNNNNNNNNNNNNNNNNNNNNNNNNNNNNNNNNNNNNNNNNNNNNNNNNNNNNNNNNNNNNNNNNNNNNNNNNNNNNNNNNNNNNNNNNNNNNNNNNNNNNNNNNNNNNNNNNNNNNNNNNNNNNNNNNNNNNNNNNNNNNNNNNNNNNNNNNNNNNNNNNNNNNNNNNNNNNNNNNNNNNNNNNNNNNNNNNNNNNNNNNNNNNNNNNNNNNNNNNNNNNNNNNNNNNNNNNNNNNNNNNNNNNNNNNNNNNNNNNNNNNNNNNNNNNNNNNNNNNNNNNNNNNNNNNNNNNNNNNNNUUCUAUCUAUGAAAAUAGUCAAGCCAAAAAUACAAAUUAUUCCCUCAUACAUUCUAUAGUUUUACCAUGUAUACGGAAUUUAAAUUAUUGUACUAGUGAGUAGAAAGUGAGUUAAGGUCUUCGACAACAAGGUCUCCAAGCAACCAUAUUUCCCCAUUUUAACCUCGCUACUGCCAUUGAUGCGGUAGUAGAGUAUAACUGGCACAUAUAGAUAUGUCGGAAGAGCAAUCGAGAGCAGAUAGCUUCAAAUUCUGAAUGUGAGGUUCAGUUGGAGACUGGUUUUAUUAGCCUUUUAGAUAUGAUUUGAACCUCUAUUUUAGACAAGAACUUGGAGCUUCUUAAUAUAUGUAGUACAACUCCUUUGGUCAUGUAUAUAUGUGCAUAUUGCCUUGAAUUCAUUCAAUAAUUCAGCCAUUGGGAUAGACAACAUACAAUUACUUGGCAACACAAUAUUAAAACUUUCAGAAUAUCACAAAAUUUGAUUGAUGUCAAAGACUCAUUCUGGACAUUUAGGAUAGGAGGUUACAAUAAAGCCAUUAACUGUACACAUAAGUUCAUUUGCAAGAAUUGGGAACCAAUUUAUAAGGUCAAGUAUAUUCGCUGUCAACAAGAAUGACGCCCUCCGAUUUAAGAUCUCUACUUAGGAGGAGCCCUGUUUGAUCAAGAUUCUAGGAUCAAGCAACAGAGUCAAAGUCAAAUCAAGAGCAACGUUCCAACUUGUCAUGAAGACCAAGAGUAGUAAUUGCUUCAGAGCAAGCAGUGAAAUUAUUUGCAAUCAGACAAUCAUCUUCUUCUUCAAGAAAUGCUGUAAUGAAAUUCUUACCAGUUGUGUCUGAUUCUUCAAAACACGAAGUUAGCAAACAGAUUGUUCAUAUAUAAUGUCAGUUGGCAUAAAUGUAGUGUUCAAUCACCAAGCCACAAAGAUGAUACAACCGAACAGUUGCAGCAGGAAAACUUGGUUGUUUAUUCAAAAUCAAGUAAAUCUCUAGGUCCCUCAUACCACGAUUGCUCCCAAUCUUUAGGUCUUGGCGUAGACAAUUCCUUCCUUGUCUAUGUGGACAGAACAAUGCUUGCUUUUCUAGCUGUUGUCUUUCACCAUGGUCUGUAGAAAAAAUGUCCAGAAAAACAACUAAUGAUCAGUAGAAGUGUAAAAGGGAAGAAAGAAAACUACUGAUAGAUUGGAUCAGUCAUCUUCUUCAUUAGAUCAUUACAAACAGUUGGCUUCGAAAAAUUUGAAGUUAAUCAACUUCAAUCAUGACAGAUAUUUAUUUUUCCUAAAAGAAUGUAAAUGUAUGGUUUCUCUUUGAGUACAGCUCUCUACAGCACAAAAAUAAACAAAUACUGUGGUCAAAGCUGUCAAUCAAAAUCCCGCUAUCCAGAAUGCAUGGCAAUGGCUGAUCCAAAUGGCCAUGUACUAGUACACUUACUAAGAUUUCCUUCAAGAAUCAUGUACAAGUGACCACCACUGUUCUCAGUGUCCAGAGGCAGUUUCCAUACUCAUCUCCUUCUCCAUGAGGCUCAUGUAGUUAUUGGAAGGAUUCAAUAAAUAAUCUCGAAACCCAUGAGCGUUUUUGGCCCAAAGAAAUUCAGCAUAUGACAUAAUUUUUUGUACAUAUAAGUUUAUGAAAUAACCAUGAUUACUAGAUGGGAAAAGUGUGUUUUCAUCCGCUGAUACGACUAUAUCAGUAAAAUGAGAACCAACUUUUCCUAUUUCAAAUUAAGUCACAUCAAAUUAAGCAGACUCUGAAAAAUACUGAUCUCCAUCUCAUAGUUUGUGAAUGGAUCAUAGACUGAAAAUGAAUUAUAUGUAAUCUACUUAAUUUACCAAAGGUAAUGAAAUCUAAUUUACAAUCAAAUUAAUUAAGACACUAAGAUACUAAUCACUACUAUACGUACAUAAAUCAUAUUACAUUUCUGUAACAUUACUUUUCUUCAAUACUUCCCCUGAUCAAGUUACAUAUCAAGAACUGAAAAAAUUGUAAGGCAAUCAAAUGAAACAAACCAAGAAAACAACAAUAUUAAAAGAGUUAUGAAAUAUCACCAGAUGAGAUCCAACAGUAAAUUAAGAAACUUUAUAUAAUCUUGCUUACCUUAGGGCCAUGUCUGGAGGAGUUCCAAUUGUAGGCCUAGGGCCAAUGUUGAUAGGCAGAUGCCCAGAUCUUAGACACCCUCAAGAUGAACAGUAGCAGCUACUCUAGGCGCUCCUACUGCACAGGCAAAAAACAAGUUAGUCAAUGUUUCUUGGCUAUUGGCUUUGGCUUGGACCUUGGUGGUUGUCAAUUUUAGAUAAAUAUGUUAAUAAUCCAAUGAAUAUAUUCCAAGAUUGAUGAUAUAUAUGCAAUAUAUCAAUUUGGAAAUGUCGAUAUAAACAUUUAAGGAAUUUAAAUUAGUCAAUUUUCAACAAUCUAGCACUCAAAAGUGUACAAAAUGAUUAUAACUUGAAAGUUUGAAUAUAAACUGAGGUACAAUAUUCCUAGAGGCUCAAGUCUCCCUAGAAGAAGGCAUCACAUCACAUAUUUAUGUGGCCUUAUGUUUGAGGUAAGCACCUUAUCUAUUGGCGAGUUCAUCAAUAAUAAGCUUUUUGCAAGAAAUUGGAGACCUAAAAUUACUCUAAUACUCCUUUUCUUGAAUAUUAAAUUUUCUUAAAAGUGUUAUCGAUUAUCAAACAUUUUUUUCAAUGGUGGAAACUAGUUUGCUACCAAAGUGAAGGUCAAAGUCCUAAUUAUCAUUUCGCUAAACAAUGUAAUAUAUUAUUAUACAAUUAUUGCUUUUAAAAGAAAAUUUACAAGCCAACCAGCAAAAUUUAUGAUUAUACCUUUUUCCGACUUCACUCACGCCAUUGAGCUUUAUAAUUUGAUGAAACAAGCCUAAAUCAAAAUUAUACAAAAAAAAAAAAAAAAGAAUCGGAGAAAACAAACUUGUAAGCACUAAAUUUUGUACUUGAAAAGAGGAAAUAGGAUGCCAAUUGUAGGUUUAAUUUAAAGAAACCUUAAAAAUAUUUUUAAAAUUAUAGGAAAACCCCUGUACCUUAGAAAGAUUGGGGCGAACAGUCUACCUUUUGGCGAUGUUCACAUCUUGAGAGGAAUGACUUCUUUCUUAGUAGAUCUGAUGAUGGUGUUGAUCUUUGGGAAGAGAUGAUUAGAAGGCUGCGUUGAAUUUUAGUGAGUGAGAGAGAAAAGAACACCCAAAACCCUAAAGCAAAAAAGGAAUUAAUAACUUAAAUAGAUUCCAUUUUUUCCUUAUGACGUGUCUACCUUAGUAAGGUUUUUAUGGCAGUGAUACCAUUUGGAUAAUUAAGUCAUUGAUUUUGAUGGAUCUUUUCCAUUUGAAUUUUUAAUAUAUAAACUUAAUCUUUUUACUUGGGGUAAUAUAUUUGGUAUUUUAUUAUUUACUUUUUAAUAAUAUGCUUUUAGUAGAUUGUUUAACUAUGUCCUAGUGUAAUAAGUAGUCUUGCAUUACAUUAUCUACUAUGGAGUAGGAGUGUGUUGCUUGUUCAAGGGAUGUAUGGGAAGUUGUUUAUUUGAUGAUAUACUUUAACACUUAGAGUCACGACUUGAGCUAAUAAGUUUAUCAAGAUCUAAGCAUUGAUGGUGUUGCUACUCUAUUGUAUAGCAAGGAUCCAAUUAGUCACAUUGUAGGACAAAACACUUAUAGACAAUUGAUUCUACUACAUUCAAGAUAUUGUUGCUUAAGGGGAGGUAGAGUCAAAACAAGUAGACAAUUGAUACAACUACACACACAACAUAGAGACAAAACACAUGAAUAAUACUAUGGUUGAAUAAAUUAAUUGGAUGACAUCAAGCUAACAUUGAUCUAGUAUAAUUAUUUUGGAGCCUAAAUGAGGAGUAUGAUGAUGAGAUGAUAAUUAUUUUGUCAUCAACAUAGUGAACAACAUAAAUUAAAAUCUUGAAAUGUCACCUUAGCCAACCUAGUAGAAAUGAUUCAUCAAAAUAUUUGAAUGUGAGAUCUUAAAUUGGUGUUUGACCAAUAAAUAUGGUAAUAAACAUAUAUUAAGUAUAUAUGAAGUGACCAAGCUAAGAUUUGUAUCAUGUUAUUGUAGGGAAUCCCGAAUCUCUUUGUUCCUUAUCCUAUGAUUAGGCUAGGUACAUGCGAUUCUUUCUAAGUUUUUCUAAAUCGUAUGAACAAUGGAAAAAUCGUGUUUUAAAAUAAUAACAAGAUUUAGAAUUUGCAUUAGAAAACAUUACAUUACAUUUGGAUGUUCCCAAAUCUAAUUCACGUAGUAAAGGAGAAGAUCGAAGUUGUCAGAGGUCUUGAACACCCAAGAUCUUCCACCAGAUGACUUUUCCUUGAUUUUAGAUCUUAAUUGGUGAGAAGGAAGGAAGACUAAAAAGGCUAUGGUUCUCUCUCUCUUUGAAUAGUGAAAGAUGGCUCACUUCAAAAAAGUAAUAAAAACCUUAUCAUUUAAGGGGUAUUUAUAGGGUUCCCUAAUUGGGUGUAAGUGACUUAAGCGUACUAAAGGCUUGAAUCAUUUAAUUUAGCUCAAAAUGAGUCUUAAUUGAUUAAUUAACCUAACAUAGUUAUCUAAUUAAUUAAUUAGCUAAAUCUGGAGACUUUGUUCACUUACCCCUAUGCAACCUUGCAUAAUUACCAAAACACCCUUAUACGCAAAAGUGAACUAAGAGUUGUGUCAUCAAGGUAUAUGAGCUUAGGUGGAGACCAUUGAGACCUAUAGGACAGUACUAGCUAUCCCAAAAUCUAAUUUUGAAGUUGAUUUAACAUUCCACUAUAGAGAAUCAAUUGCACUAUAAUACCUUAUGUAAAUAACAAUGAGAUGCUAAGUGGUCGAGCCCAUGACUUAUUAUCCAUUGCAUUCAGUCUCCCUAUGAACUGGUGUUUGUAGUCUAAUAAGGUGAAAACUAUCAACCUUUCAAGACUACUUCUACUAUCUUUGAAUUACAAAUCCUCUUAUUAUGUAUUUAAUUGAUAUAUCUUAACUCUCCAAGAGUCUAUGUUAAGUUCCAUUUAAGAAACUACUAUGACCAUAGUUUACAUGAACAUACCUCCUUAAGAUCACUUAAGGGGACACUCUGUCUCAAUCCUAUUAGAUUUCAUGGUACUUCUAUUACAAAUACUCAUUGUUACAGACUUGCAUCAAUAGUGAACCAAUCCAUAAGGAACAUAUGAUUAGCUUACGAUUUCAUUAGUAGGUCAAAGUCACUACUAACUUUAACACAAAAUCUAUAUUCUCUCAAGGUUAAGAGAUAAAACAAUGAAGCAACUUGGUGAAAUCAUGACUAUUUGAUACCUUUAUGUCAUGAUUCACCAUAAGUCUUGUCUAAUGUGUAACCAUACACACUAGUAUACUCACCAUGGAAAACCCAUCCUUAUAACCAAGACCACCCAUUCCUCUAAUUAUGAAGUAGCGUACUAUAACCUCUAAAGGGUUACCUAAGCCUAUGAAUUGGUUGUGAACAAGUCAUCUACUUACAAUGAAUCCAUUACUUAAAUUUUUUUUGCAACUCCUAAUGCACUCAAGUCAUGUACAAUACAAGAUAUGUAUAUCAAAAUGCUUACAAGGUAUAAUGUAUAGGAUUGGGAUAAACAAAAGUGAACUAAAAGUUAAUUAAUAAAUAAUAAAAUUUUAAAUUUAUUACAUCAUGUCAUGCUUUUAUGAAAUCUUUAAAAUAAUAAGAGCGCCCUUUCAUAAUCAUGAAUUAAACUUUAGUUUCAACUUCUAUCAAAGGCUAAAUGAGAAAAGCUAUCAUAGAGGAGGCCUCAGCCAAUGGGUAAGAUGCACUAUUAUACCAAACAAUAAGUGAAAAAUACAAUUUUAUUAAUACUUGAGACAAAAAAAAAAAGAAAAAAAGAAAUAAAAGGAUGAUUUUACACUCAAACCAAGCAUUUAUUUAUAAUGAAGUGCAGUCUCCAAACGCACAUGUGGACUUAUUGGAAAAUCAUACAAAUUAUUGAAGGACGACCUUAGCUAGGCUAACAGUCUCCUAAAUAGGCCAUCUUUUAUAUAUCUUUGCAUUCAUCCAUCUCCUCAUUGUCUUUGAUUUUAGAUGGUGAGGAUGUGAAAGUAACAGGAAGCAGUGGACGAUUGUUCACAGUGAGGCUUAGCACAUCAGCUCUCGAAUAAUGUCCUACCACAUCGAACUGGAACUUUGCUUUAGGAAUCUCUCCACGAACAUCUACAUAUCAAGUGAUCAUAAAAAUAUUUCAUCAGUCCAUGAUAAAUAUCAUAGAAUAUCAAGCCUUCGAUAAAACUAAGUUUGCAGUCCUCUUAAACCUAAAGAAUCGACUCAUUUGCCUUAUCUGCAUACUGAAAUAUUUGGAUAUAUAAUUGGAGAACUUAGGGCCAUACCAAGAUCAGCUGUGAAGAGGCCUUCUCCUUCAUAAUUCGGUCCUGCUAGAAUUUCGCCAUGGGGCGAAAUGAUGACACUACCUCCAGCCCAAACAAUAGAAUCUGGAGUGACAUCUUCUUCUGUAGGACUGUAAAGAUACUCAGGUGGAGGUGGGUAAUCUUUCCUCCGACAGAACUGGAUGGGUGAAAGAACAUAGCAUCCACCCUCAAUAGCGACGUGUCUCAUUGUAGCUACCCAUGUAUCCCCGGAAUCGGCAGUAGGAGCACAAUAUAUCUCAAUACCUAUAUAGAUGUACAUUCGUAUUUUGUGAUCAAUCAAUCCCAUAUCAAAGCCAUAAUGUAUUUCAAGCCAAAUCAUAUUAGUUAGUGAAGAAAAAGAAAUGGUAAAAGACAUACCUUUGCCAUACAUUGCUGUCCUGAAAAGUGGCAUUCUAUUUUCCCAACAAAUGACCGAACCAAGUUUUCCAUAUGGAGUGUCAUAAACUGGAGUUGUAGAGCAAUCUCCGAAACCCCAGAAGAGCCGCUCCCAAUAUGUUGGCAUGAGUUUCCUAUGUUUUCCAAGGUAAUUACCUUCAGGAUCAAAGAAGAGAACUGUGCAAUACAAUGUGUAUCCAUCUCUCUCAACAACACCUGUCACUAAGUAGACUUUGUAUUUCGCAGCCAUUGAUGCCAAUCUAUCCACUUCAGGUCCUGAAAAUACAUUAAUAUGAGAUCAAAGAUGAAACAUGUAAGCUGAUGGUUCAUCACAAAGCAUAAGUAUAAUUUUUUUCUUGGUUCAUUCAUCAAACGUGUCUUGUUUCAAUAACUAAUUAAGUGGUUCAGUUCUUUAGCUAUUUAAGGGAGAAAGAGAGAGAUAACUGACCCGGCACAUUAAUGGCAGAAGCAUGGUACUUGCGGAAACUUUCUUUCCCUCUUGGCGACUGGUCGGCGAAGUUGUAUCCCCGGGGAUACCCACCGAUAAAUGCUUCAGGAAACACAACCAGUUGGGAUCCUAGUGCAGCUGCUUCUUUCAAAAACCUCUCAGCCUUAUCUGCUCUCAAAAUCACAUUGCAAGAAUUAAUAAUCCACGACUUAGAAAGUAAAUUAAUUGGUUGAAUGGAGAGAAUGAAAAUUAACUUUAAGAGAUCCCGAAUGACUUUUUGGUUGCUGAGAAAACUCAAGGAAAAACAGACCUAGAUGAAACUUGAAACUCUCAUAUUUUCAGCUGUUUUGUAACUAAGAAAAGAGAAACCACCUCAACCCAACUCAUCAAAAUAAUUGUAAAAGCAGUAAUUCCUUGAUUGGCAGCUGAAAAUAUGAUCAGGGUUCAAUCAUCCUUUUCUUUUUUUCAGUCUCUGAGAAACCAAUUAGAUCACAUAUUCCAUUACACAAGUUGCACAAUUGAAAUUAAUGGUACGUUACCUAGAGUGGCAGGAGUAUCAUAAAAGAUACUAGAAGCUUGAACAACGGUGGCUCUGACAGUUGAAGACAUUGCAGAAAUCGUAUGCUUUUUCGUUUCCCUUUUGUUUGAGGAUGCCUUACACAAAGUUCAGUAUAUAUAUUGCCCAUGAACAUGAGGUUCCUCUGCCAUUACUUGAACGAGACGAAGAGGCUGUGAAAAGUCUGCCUUGGUUUUCUAUAUUCAUUAUGAGCUUUUCUCCUCAUCACAAAUUUUUAAGUUAUCCGCAGACAUUGUGGACCAGCGACAUGACUUGUACAAAUUGAAAAUGACUGUCAUCUGUGAAAAGUAAUUUAAGAUAAAAUUCAAUUCAUGGUUUGAUAGUUUUAGACAAACAAAACAAGUCUUUUUUGCCUUAGAAAAAGGCCUCAACCAAUUAACACACAUACCCAAAUUAUUAGGCUUUUAUUUUCAUUUCUUUUAUAUAUAUAAUGCACAAAGAUAAAUUGUCUUUAGUGUUAAAGCUGAGGCCUUUUAUGACCUCAGCCAUAAAAGAAAAAAAGAAUAGUCAUUAAAAGCACAAGAUAUUUGUCAUUUUUUUUUACAAAAACGACUGAGUCGUACAUAGUGUUAUAGUUUUAGACGCCCAAAAGAAGUCUUUUUGUGCCUUGUAAGAAAACCUCAGCCAAUUCAAGAUGAUCAUCUUUGAACGAAAAGAGGGAGCCGCCCACAUGCAUGGAUUCCAUCCAUGACGUGUACUAUAUAUCUAUAAAACCCAGCAUAUAGCUAAAAACUGGGUCUGACCUUAUGUAUUGGUCCCUACCAAAAAUUAAUGAGUGAUUCCGUCACCCCAGAAUGAAAGGGGUGAUCUCAUAGUUCUUGGUCUGUGAAGAUGCGUUGUUAGGUGCUCCAUUUUAUUUUCCCAUUGAGGCAGAACCUAAACGUUACUAACAUGUUUACUUUCAUUGUGGGUAAUGUGUUUGGGUUCAAAGGCAGCUAUGGUAGAAAAAUAAAAAGGAAGAACUAUGCUUACCCUCACGUUGAUUCAAGCAAAUAUAUUUUUUAGGAAUUCUAAUUUUCAUAUUUCACCCCAAACACAUAAUAAAUAAAUUUAUUCUUCAAAUAUGUAUUUUAAUAACAACCAAAAUGAGAAUUCUAUAGUUAUCCCUUUUAAAAUCUUUAAUAUGACAAGUCAUCAUUUGAUCUAUUUGAUAGCUCUCCCACUUUUUUUUUUUCUCCUCUUCAUCACUUUCUCCAUAUAAUGUCUUUGAUAUCCUUUCCAUAUCAUGUCUUUGAUAUCCUAACUUUGACAUUUUUUUAUUUAUAUACGCUGAAGUGAAUACACUUUCAUAUUUCUUUUCAUUCUUUUAAUAUUUUCAUAUUUAUUAACUUAGUCAUUUUUUUGAAACAUUAACAUAAAAUUAUAAUAUAUGAUCAAUAACUAAUGAGAACAAAUUAAACAUAAAUAUAAGUAUGGAAUGGAGAGAAAAUAAAAUUUUAUCCUACAAAUAAUACAUAAAUAGUUUAAAAUAUUAAUUAUAGUAAUAUAUUUGAUACUUUAGGGUUUAGAUUAAAAAAUUAUGUUUUAUUUUUUAGAGGCUAGGAUAUAGGAUUUCCAUUAACCAAAGAUUUUUUGUAUGAAUCCUAAAUAAAAUGUGUAUUUAUUUUGCAAAUUCUUAUCAUAUAUAAAUAAAAUAAAAUAAAUAUAUUUUUAUCAUAUUAUUUUUAAUUUUUAUUAUUUUGUGUCAAAAUCAUAGUCAAUGAUAUUGGUUUUUGUUAUGAUAUUAGCUCUUAAAAGGAUGUUAUGAUGUAAUAAAUAUGAAGUUUAUUAUUUAUUUAAUGGUAUUUUGAUUUCACUUUUAUUAAUCUUUAUUUCAUUCAUUUUACCUUAUGAGUAUUCUAGCCUGACAUUUCUUGCACUAUACAUAACUUGGGUGCAUUAAAAAUUGCAUGAAAGAUCCAAGUUAUAGGUUCCUUGCAAGUGAAUGAUUUGUUCACAACUGCUUUGUGAACUUAAGCAAUCCAUUUGAUGUUGUAGUUCACUAUCUCUUCAUUAGAGGAAUGAUUGAUCUUGACUAUCGAGAUAGAGUUCUCAUGGUGAGUACACUAGUAUGAUGAGUUAUGAUGUAAACUUGUUGGAUAGUCAUAACUUCACUAAGUUGUUAUAUUGUAUUGUUUUCUCAACCUUGAGAGAAUAUUGAACUUGUGCCAAAGUUUGUAAUUAUUUAACCUAUGGGUGAGAUCAUAAAGUGAUUAUAUAUUCCUUACGAAUUGGGACAUAGUAGAUAGAAGUCGGUAGUAAUAAGUAUUUUCAAUAGAGACAUCAUGAUAUCUCAUGGAAUUUGAGAUAGUGUUGGGUGAUAAUAAGGACAUGUAAUCAUGAAGUCUAUGGUUGCAUUAAUUCUUUAAAUGAAGUUUGAUAUAUGCUUUUGUGAGUUAGAGUAUGUUAGUUGAUCAUAUAAUAAGAGAAUAUGUAACUCAAGGAUGGUAUAGGUAAUAUUGAAAGGCAAAUAACUUUCACCUUAUUAGAUUAUAAACACCAAUUCAUGGGGAGACUAUAUGCAAUAGAUAGCAGGUCAUGAAGUUAAGCAUUUUGUGUCUUGUUGUAAUACACAUAGGGCAUUGAAAUGUAAUUGACUUUCUAUAGUAAGAUGUUGAGCCAACUUUAAAAUUGGAUUAUAAAGGAGCCAAUACUAUCUUAUGGGUCUUAGCAGUCCUCGCUCAAGUUCAUUUAUCUCAAUGACAUGGUUUGUGAGGGUUGGAUUGACUCAUGAUUCACUUAUGUGCAAAAAGGCAUUUUGGCAAGUAUGCAUGAAUGCAUAAGAGUUUGUUGGGAUAAAACCUUAUAAAUCAUGACAUGAUGUAAUAGAUUUAGUUUCAUUAAUAAAUAUAUUUAUUUACUAUUCUAGUUCCCUUAUAUUAUCCCAUUGGCAUUAAUUGGUUAUCAAAGUAUUUGCGUCCAUAUCACUUGCAUUGUACAUGACUUAGGUGUAUUAGGAGUUGAACAAAAAAUCCAAGUCAUGGGUUCUUUGCAAGGUGAUAAGUAGUUUAUAGUGGGUUCAUGGAUUUAAGCAAUUUAGUAGAGACUAUAGUGUACUACCUCCUAAUUGGAAAGAUGACUUGUCUUAGUCACCGAGAUGACUUUCCCAUGAUGAGUGAAACAAUGUGUAUGGUUACACAUUGGACAUGACCUAUGAUGAAUUAUGACAUUAAUUGUUGGGUAGUCAUGAUUUACCAUGAUACUAUAUUGUAUAAACUCUCAACCUUGAGAGGAUAUUGAGUUUGUGCUGAAAUCAAUAGGAAACUUUGAUCUAUGGGUGAGAUCCUUGUGUGGUCAUGUAUUCCUUACAAAUUGGGUCACGGUUGAUGAAGAUUGGUGGCAACAAGUAUUCUUAAUAGAGAUACCAUAAUAUCUUAUGAGAUUAAGACAACGUGUCUCUUGGGUGAUCCUAAAGACAUGUGAUUAAGAUGACUACAACCAUAACAAUCCCUUAGUAGAAUUUGACAUAUGCUCUUUGUAAGCUAGAAUAUGUCAAUUGAUCACUUAAUAGGAGGAUUUGUAACUCAAGGAUUGGAGAGAUAAUUUUGAAAGGUUGGCAUCAUUACCUUGUUAUAUUACAAACACCGGUUCAUGGGGAGUCUACAUGCAGUGGAUAGUAGGUCAUAGACCUAAACUUUGCCUUGUUGUAAUUAUAUAGCAUAUUAGAGUGUAGUUGACUCUCUUUAGUAGGGUGUUAAGUUAACCUUAGAAUUGGAUUCAAAGUGAGAUAGUAUUUUCCUAUAGGUUCCAAUGGUCCCUGCUCAAUCUGGUGUCACAUUUGUUUGAGGGAUUUUAGGUUUGUAGUUAACAAGUGUGCAUAAGGGGGAAUUUAAUAAAAAUACAAGGUUGGACUAGAUCUUGUGAAUAGACUUUCUAGAUUGGCAUAAUUUAUUAAUUGGAUUCUAAUAGGGCUAAUUAAUUAAUUAGGACCUAAGUGAGCUAAACCAGGUAACCUAAGCCCAAUUUGGGCUCAAGUCACUAAAGUUCACAAGGAAGCUUAUAAAUAACUAUUUAAAGCCCAUUGGGUUUUAUGAGUAACUUAAGCUUGCCUUGGGUUUGGGUAACUUAUUAUAACCUAAAAAGGUUCUUAAUUGAGGGCUUAGAUUAAUCAAUUAACUUAGUCUAAAAGUACAAUUCACCAAAUUUAUUGGAAACUUUGAAUUACUCCAUUUCAUGACCCAGGAUCAUAUAGGGUGCAUGCAACUAUCCUUACGCUUCUCUAGAUCUAAUGCAAUGGAAAAAUAUGGAUAUAAAAUCCAUAAAAUGUACUAGAUUUAUAGAUUAGAACUCAUACCUAUGAUUUGAAUGUUUCUAAAUUAAAUCCAAUCCCUAAAAGACAUCAAAGAUGUUUUAAAAGUCAUUUAUUGAACAAUUUUCCACCCAAUCUCUCCUUUCACAGAUAGACCCUAGCAUAAAAGAAGGGUAGGCUUAUGUCCCUUCUUUUUUAAGGUAGCUAGGGUUUGCUCAUUCUUUUAGGGCAUCAAACUCUUAGACUUUUACUUUUUCCAUUCUCUCCCACGUGUCUAGAGAGAAUCUAGUCCCCACUCUUCUAAAUAUCUAACAUUUGAGUUCGUAGCUUUAAUGAUGAGCCAUCAAAUAGAAAACCAAUAGGUUUGCAAGAUUUUCGAUGACCCCUACACAUUUGAUAACCUCCUUGACUGCAAAAAUUUGAUUUGGGAAUAUCUAGAUCUUGGUAAAUACUUCUAAUCUAUAGAUUUAGAUCUAAUUUCUAUUUUAAAGGUGAUUUUUUUUUCAUUGCUAGGGUCUAGAUAAGCCUAGGAAAGUUUGCAUGCACUUAACGAGAUCUAGGGAUAGGGAACUUAGUGAUCUAUGCUUUCUUGUAGUUGUAGCUUUUUGCUUUUAAUUUUAACUUGAGUGUACUUUUGGCUUUUUCUUGCUUAAGCUUUUAAUUUUUUUUGAAUGAUGUACAAUGCAUUUAUUUUUUUAGAGGAAUGUAUUUAUUUUUCUUAAUGAUGUACUUUCUUUUUUGAAGGAUAUACUUAAUUUUAUAACAAAUGUAUUUAAUUUUUUCUAAAGAAUGCACUUAUUUUUCUAAGGGAUCUAGUUGUAUGGCAUAAGAUGUCCUCUCAAGCAGAGGUGGAGGUACUAUAGAUUUUGUAAUAGGCACAAUGAUUGCUAAGGUGGUAUGUGAUGGAGGGACUAGUAUAAAAGCCUGAAGUAAGGGUGUGUCCAAUGAUAUAAAUGGCUCAAGUAAGUAAAGAGAAAAUGGUGUGGAAAUUCAAGUAGGGAAGAAAGGGUUGGUAUGGAUUCAUCGGGGGAAGGAAAUGUAGGUUCCAUGAUACAGAUACCUAAAGUAAGGGAAUAGUAGAUAAUGUGUAAGCCCUAAGUGGGGGUUGUUGAUGCUAGGUCAACUGAAGAUGGAAUCCCUUGGUCGUGGCAGCAAAAAGGUUCUGUCCAAAAGUUGGAGACUGGGCUUUCACCUUCCCUGCACAAAGAUGUCUGGACACACUCUCCAAAACCUAAGUCAGACUUUGAAGUGGGCAGGAACCCUUAGAGAUAGAGAGAGAGAGAAGAUGAGAAAGUCCUUAGUAUUGCGUACCUAGGUUCUGGUUCCAAGAGGGUUUUUAUAGUGUCUAGGAUGGAGUCACUAUUGUGCUGAGUUAACAUCUUGACUUUUGUCGUCAUGAUGGCAGCACAGUGGAUGGCAGGGUAAUCAUCACCAUUUAAGCGGUUGGCAGGGGUUGCUGUGGGUAUGUUAUGAUGGUUUGCCUGUCACCUCAACCUAUUGGAGGUAUGAGGCAGUGUGUGAUAGUCGUCUGAUAUGAACGUGGAGACAAGGUAAGAUCCCAUCCCCCAUACUUUUUUUAGAAAAAAAUGAUUUCCUGCAGCAGAGAGAUAGAGUAACCAUCCGGAAUGCGCUGGCAAUUUAAGGGAGCCUAGUACUGCCGGUUGGUAGCAUGUAUAGUCCAGACUAGGACCUUCGAGUCUGAUGAUGAUCGUCCGGACAACAUUGAGAUGAACACCACAUGGGCCAGUAGUGGUUUGCCACAUGGGGGAAGAUCUCCACAGGGGUGACAAGGUUGGAAUGAAGGUAUCAUGGAAGAGGAAAUAUGAGUCUCUGACAGCUUUGACUUAUUUCUUAAAAUGAAGAUAUAAAUUGUUUUUAACUUUAAGUUACAUCAUUAAGUUCUUUUAAUAAAUAUACUUUACUUAAUAACUAAAAUUAAGUUAUUAAGUCACUUUAAGUUAUUAAGUUAAUUUACCAAACGCCUACUAAUUUUCAAAUUCUAAGUUUAGCUUUGCUUUGUAGUGAAUGCAUUUAGGAUUAUCAAAGAGGUCAUCAAGGGUUUCAAACAUAUUCUAUUGCUCAACUUCUCAAAGAGGGACUUCAGAAGAGAAGAUUCCAUAAUUCUAGUUUUGUAUUCGAUUGUAUGUAUCCUACCACAUGGAGACGAUUCCUCAGCAUGCUGAUUUAUUAUUAAGUGCAUGUGAAUUACGUACGGAAUUCCAAUUGAUAUGAACAUAAAAUUAAUUGAAUUAUGUGACAUUUUUUUUACGCAUAAUAAAACAUAUACAGUUGGAAGAUAUCUCGAGAUUCUGAUUUUAUAUCUGGCCCUCAAAAUUCUAUUUCACUGUCAGGUUGUGGAGCAUAUCCCUUGGCAUGCUGAUAUGUCAACUAUUGAAAAAUCUGCAACCAUUUUCUAUAUUCAUGAGCUUUUCUCCUGUUCGAAUUAGUUUUGAAGUUAUCUACAGACAUUGAUUGUGGACUAACUACAUGACUUGUACAAAUUGAAAAUUACUUCAGUCAUGUGUAAAAAAUAAUAAGAGAUAACAUUCAUUAAUUGUGGAUAAAUUGUCUAUAUGACUUUAAAGAAAAAAAGGUCAUAAAAAAACUGAUUGCCUUGUGGAUACGCCUACCAGUAGAUAGCUGAGAACAAGGUCUAACUCUCAACCUUUUGUACUGCCUCUACAAAGGAACACAAAUUUGAGAGAUUCAAAGGCAGCUAUGGUAUAAAUACUGUUUCAUAAAUUACUUUUCAAAUUUAAUUUGGUAGCAAAAAUAAAAAAUAUAAAAGCUUAAAAAAUUUGUUUCAUUCCCAAAAUUUUUGCAAAUAAAAUUUUAAAUAAAUUAAGACCUUGACUCUUUUCACAUCUUAUUCUCAUUUCUAUCAAAGCAAUGAUAGUAAUAAUAUCUUAUGUAUAAAUUUUAAAUGAUGUAAGAUCAUUGAAUUUUUAUUUUCUUUUAACUUCUUGUUAUGUAGUUAUCAAACAUAUUUUUUUUUAAGACAAGAAAAAAAUUAGACCAAACAAAUAUAUUUGAUAUUUAUAACAAUUGAAAACAUAAUUCGUAUCAUUUUAAAAAAUAAUAAAAGCAAAGGUGUAUCAAAACAAUACCUCAUUUGCGUAAUUAGUUAUCACAUUUCCUAAGUACAAAAGUAGGCAAGUAAAUUUUUGCUCAAGUUACAAUAGUGCUCAAAAUCCUUACCCAAGACUUAGAUCCUAUUUCACUUUUUUUCUUCCUUAGAACAAAAAACAAGAAAAUGUGUUUGACAACCGGAAAAUAAGGUUGUGGACCCCGCAUUUUGCUUGAUGCGUUCCCACUCGAUGGUGAAACUCGUUUUUUUUAUUUAUUUGGUGAAAAAUCGAUUUUUAGAAAAAGACUUGAAGUCGCCACUUAUUUUUGUUUUGUUUUUAAAGAGUAAAUAAAAUAAGAAAGAAAACCCUAAGUGUGACUCCUUAUUUUGGAAAAGAUGGUCUGUGAAAAACCAAAUAUGAGCUUGGGGGUCAGGUUACUUAUUGGGAAGGUACGGUAAAAACUGUAACACCCUUCUAAGUCCCUAAAAAUGGAUCUCUACUAAUAAAAUGAAGCAAGUGUGGAAAAUGAUUGAUCAAUUGUGGAUACCAUACAGUAAUCGAGAGUGUGAAAGCAAGACACGCGUGAUAACAAAUAAAUAAAUAAGCACAAUCGGGUACAAAGCGUACCUUAAUCGCAAGCCAAGAGUUAUCAUAAGAGACAAGAUUAGUGCACAAAUAUGGGAUAAUCGCAUGCAUGUCAUAGAGUGAGGCAAACCAAUCAAACAUAGCAAUCAAUCGAUCAAUGGAAAAUCUCAUGUGUUGGGCCCCACGAAAGCCCGAUUUAUCUUAGUGUAGAUUAACUCCGUAAAUUUCAUUAUUCGAAAUUAUAGAAUUAUUCAUGCUUAUUAAAAAUGUGAAAAUUAGAAAACUAUUAAAAAUCAAGGAGAAUUUAUGAAAAAUGUUUACCGGAAAAAAAUGUGGUGACCAAUUUUAUUAAAGAAUGGAAAAUAUUUAAAAUCAAGAAAAAAAAAAAAGAAAAAUAAAAUAAAAUAAAAUAAAAUAAAAAAUAAAAAUAAAAAUAAAAAUAAAAAUAAAUAAAUGAAUAAAAUAAAAGAAAAUAAAAAAUAAAAAAUAAAAAAUAAGAAUGAAAAUAAAAAAAUAAUAAUAAUAAACAAAUAAAAUAAAAGAUGCAUGACCAGUGGAAAGUGGUAGAGAUUGACUUAUUAGAAUUGGAUUUAUUUAAAACCAUGAGAGAAAAAUUGAAGAAUUAAAACCAUUUGAAAAACAAGAUUUUUUUUUUUUUUGAAAAUUGAUUUUUGAAGGCGUGUAUUUUCCUAUAGGAGAUGAGACAUGUGUCUUAAGGAUGGCCUAUCAAAGGUGGCCAUGCAAGGAUCUUGUGCACUGGUGGUCGAAUAUGGGAUACCAACAACUGAGAUGGCCCAGAUGACUACUGUGGGUCCGGAUGGUUCAGAAUGUCUCUUUCCUUGUGAACCCCUGCAUCCCUUUCCAGCCUAAGUCAACCCCCGAAGCUAUGCAAUUCAGCCAUUUGGGUCCCAAAAUCCUCCUUCUUAGUUCUGAUGCUGACAUCACCAUCUUCUUCAACCUCAACUCUUCCAACAUUGGGUAAACCAUAGCCAUGGCAGCGACCUACGGAUAAACGUUACCUCCCCACCCAUCCGGCACCAGAUUAAAGUCUGUAGAAUGCGGCUUCCCCUUCAGCGCCACUGACCGGAGCUCCGGGAGCCGCCUGAUCACUAUCCCAGGGCUCACAGCGUAGUAGUCCUCGACUCCUCGAUGAAGAUCCGUCAUCGGCUCCACCGCUCCACCUCAUACCACGAUUUGCACACCACAGAUAUCACGUUUCGGUCCUUAUCGGUAUGAAUGAAAGAAAAGACAUGCUCCAAAACCUCUUCCGGAAACGAGUACGCCAUUGAAAAUUCUUUCUUGGAGUUCCGAAUUCACAAACAAACCCUAAAUCGAACUUUUCGAAGUCUCAAAUCCGAGAUGUCAUUAACAAGCUCAGUUGCAGAAUACAUCUUUCCGUUCAUUUCCCCACUGGCUUUGUCCCUGAAGUAUUUGUAGUCCGACAGAUUGUAGGGGAACCUCACUGACAUAUUGUGUUCGGUCUUCUCACUCACCACGACAAGGCUAUAAAGAUAGAGUUGAAACGGCGAAUCAAGAGGCAGCUUUAAGUGAUCGAUUUUACAGAAAGAACCCGCUUCCUCCAUUCCUUCAUUGGAUGAAAUUUUGGAUAAUCAUUCACCAAUUCUAACUUUCAUCUUCACCAAGUCUCGAUGCUUCUUCUUUAAUGAGUGCAACGAAUCUGCAUGUCGGGAGACCAAAUUCUCACGACGCAUAAGAAAAGAAUUUGCACCCGCCGUUACCGAUCCUUCUCCUUUGAUACCAACUCAUCCAUAACUAUGUCAUUUAAUCACUUCUCCAUUUGACCAUCCAUUCCGAACAUGCCCAGAAAAUCAUUGCUACUUCCUGUCCAACACUUAAAAGAAAAAUGACGAUGCCGGGUGUGGUGUUGAAUACAGGACGAAAAUGAGGAGCACGAUGGUGAAAGUGACCAUGCAUAGGGGAAAAAGUGUGGUGGAGAAAUGGGAAGAAUGAAAACAGGUAGUGAGAGAAACGGUGUAACAUAAUGUGCCUAUGCUGUGUUAGGUUAUAUAUGUAAAAACAACUUUUUUGUUUUUGUUUUGAGUGGUUGUCAUGCUUCCACGUGGAGAGAUUUACACAAGUUAAAUCUCUUUGCAUCUGGUUUAAAUUCUGGUGUCUGUACAACAAAAAAGUGAAGAACCGAGAAUACAAAGUGAAAAGAAAUAGGGUCCUCUGUUUUUUUGGGACUGUCUUAACUCCUCUGUUCCAGGUCUGUUACAAGGUGUCACUCUUCCAUUUUUUCUUUCUAUAGCCUUUCUCUGUUUUAGGCUGAAACUGCAGCCAACAUAAUUGGUAUUAGAGCAACCCAUUUCACGAAUCCACCUCUCAAUCUAAUCUUCGAUCCACCUUGCUGUUUCCAAUAUGAUCUAAUCCACUUCUUCUUUUCAAGCCCUUUUAUUUCUUAAAACAUGCCUCUUGUGUAUGGAAUUUUAAGAAAUUUCCUCUGUUUUGGAAAGAGAGGAUACUAGGGUUUCUUUUAAUCUGAAGACCAAAAUCCGAACCUACAAUGUAGCUGAAUUGGUGAUGUUGCUGUGCAAUCAGAUUCUGUCUAGAAACCCUCAAUCCUGAAGCAGACGGACCAAGGACUUGAAGGGUAGAUCAAUGGCCAGCACAAGUGUUACAAGUAUGAGUUCUCAACCUUCUUCUAUUCCAUUAUUUGAAGGAGAAAAUUAUGACUUUUGGUGCGUAAAAAUGAAAACUUUAUUUGUCUCAAGAUGUUUGGGAUUUGGUUGAAAAUGGUUUUGAUGAACCUCCGGUUGAAAAAGAUCAGUUGAAAGAAUUGAAAAAAAUGGAUGCAAAAGCUCUCUUAUUUAUUCAACAAGGUGUUGGUAAUAACAUCUUUCCAAGAAUUAUGAGAGCUUCAAAAGCUAAAGAAGCAUGGGACAUCCUUCAACAGGAGUUCCAAGGAGACAAAAGAACCCAGUCAGUAAAGCUUCAAGCUUUAAGAAGAGAGCUGGAAAAUAUGAAAAUGAAGGAGAAUGAAACUCUAAAUGAGUUUUCUUCCAAAUUUAUGGAGUUAGUAAAUCAGAUGAAGUCAUAUGGUGAAGAAAUUAGUGAUAAAAGAAUCGUUGAGAAACUUUUAAUCAGUCUACCUGGCAAAUUUGACCCAAUUGUGGCUAUGAUUGAAGAAACAAAAGAUCUCUCACUGCUCAGUGUACAAGAGCUAUUUGGGUCUUUAAAAACUUAUGAAUAGAGAUUGUUGAGGCAUUCUGAAAAAUCAGUAGAAAGUGCAUUCCAAUAAAAAAUAAGCCUUAACUCCAGAAAUGUUGAAAGGAAACCUAUAAGCAAUGAAAAUAAAAGUGAUUCAUCUAGAGGUGGUAGAACUGGAUGAGGAAGAGCAAAAGGAAGAGAUGGAAGAGGUAGAGGAAGAUUCAGCUAUGGAAGAAAGUUUACUAACGAGGAAGGCUCAUCAUUCUCAAAGUGUAAUAUUUGUAAAAGAAGUAGUCAUGUUGAAAAAGAUUGUUGGUUCAAAGGGAAGCCUCGAUGCUUCAAUUGUAAAAAAUUUGGGCAUGUUAAAAAAGAUUGCAGAUUUAAGAACAAUCAACAAGCAAGUUGUGCUGAGGAGAAAGAGGCUGAUGAAAACAUGUUUUAUGCUUGUCAAAGUGUUGCUGAGCAAAAGAAUAAUGUGUGGUUCCUUGACAGCGGCUGCACAAACCACAUGACUGGUAACAAAAAUAUUUUCCUUGACAUGGAUACAACCAUCAAAUCAUAAGUCAAAAUGGGUAAUGGUGAUUUAGUGAAUGUUAAAGGGAAAGGCACAGUUGGUAUCCAAACUAAAGUGGGAACCAAGUACAUCAGAGACGUUCUUCUUGUACCAGCCUUAGAGCAAAAUUUGUUAAGUGUGGGACAGCUAGUAGAGCAUGGGUAUAAACUUCACUUUGAAAAUAAUGAGUGCACCAUUUAUGAUAAGGAGCAAAGAAGAAAUUUAGUGAAGAAGAUAAAGAUGGAGAAAAAUAGAAGUUUUCCAAUUGUCUUCAAAUAUGUUGAAAAUGUGGCUUUGAGAAUGGAAGAUGUUGAAGAAGCUUGGUUGUGGCAUAGAAGAUUUGGGCAUUUGAACUUCAAUAGCUUGAAGAUGCUUUGUCAAAGGAAGAUGGUACAAGGAUUGCCAAACGCCAUUGAAGAAAAGAAUGAAGUAUGUGACGGUUGUGCUCUUGGGAAGCAUCAUAGACAAUCAUUUCCAAAGGGAGUCGCUUGGAGAGCAAAGAAGGUAUUGGAGUUAGUUCACACUGAUAUAUGUGGACCCAUGUCUACACCUUCUCAAGGCAACAACAAGUACUUUGUAUUGUUUAUUGAUGAUUUUACAAGAAUGACUUGGGUGUUCUUCAUGAAGCAAAAAUCAGAAGUGUUCUCUAUCUUUAAAAAAUUCAAGAGUUUUGUUGAAAAGCAAAGUGGUUGCUACAUAAAGACCUUGAGAAGUGACAAAGGAAUGGAAUAUACUUCAAGCCAAUUUGGUAAUUUUUGUGAAGAUGAAGGGGUUGAGAGACAGCUUACUGUUGCAUAUACUCCUCAACAAAAUGGAGUAGUUGAAAGGAAAAAUCAAACGGUUAUGGAAAUGGCCAAAGCUAUGUUAUAUGAGAAGGGUUUGCCUAAAAUUUUUUGGGCUGAAGCAGUUAACACUGCUGUGUAUCUUUUGAAUAGAUGCCCAACAAAAGCAUUAUUGAACAAAACUCUGAUUGGAGUAUGGAGUGGAAGAAAACCAUCUGUUAGACACUUCAAAGUGUUUGGGUGCUUAUGUUAUUCACAAGUUCCAAAGGAAAGAAGGAGCAAGCUGGAUGAAACAAGUGAAAAGUGCAUCUUCAUGGGUUAUAGUUCACAGUCAAAGGGUUAUAGGUUGUAUAAUUUGAAAACCAACAAGCUGAUCAUAAGUAGAGAUGUUAUUUUUGAUGAAAAAGCUGCUUGGAAUUGGGAAGAAGGUAAAAUUCUGAAGAAAACAAUUCUUGUUGAUGAACUUCAAACAAAAGCACCAGUUGAAACUGGAAAUGGCAGCACUUCAACUUCAUCACCUCAAGAAUCUCCAAGAUCAGUUCCAUUAUCUCCCUCAAUUGAGUCUCCAACUUCAAGCUCGUCGUCACCAUCCUCAACUCCAAGAAAAAUGAGAAGUUUGACUGAUGUUUAUGAGAGAUGCAAUUUGUGCAUUGUUGAACCUCAAAGUUUUGAAGAGGCAAUAAAAGAUGAAGAUUGGAGGAAAGCAAUGGAAAAAAAAAUUGAUGUCAUUGAGAAAAAUGAAACAUGGCAGCUGGUUGAAAAGCCAAAAGACAAAGAAAUCAUUGGGGUGAAAUGGAUUUUUAGGGUGAAAUGGAUUUUUAGGGUGAAAUACCAUUCUGAUGGUAGAGUUCAAAGGCUUAAAGCUAGAUUGGUUGCAAAAGGCUAUUCACAACAGCCGGGUGUUGAUUUCCAUGAGACCUUUGCUCCAGUUGCUCGCCUUGAUACUAUUAGAACUAUUAUUGCAGUGGUUGCUCAAAAAGGUUGGUUGUUGUACCAACUUGACAUAAAAUCUGCAUUUUUGAAUGGAAAGCUGGAAGAAGAGAUCUAUGUUGAACAACCUCAAGGAUUUGUUGUUGAUGGAGAAGAAAACAAAGUUUACAAGUUAAAGAAAGCCUUAUAUGGUUUGAAACAAGCUCCCCGUGCCUGGUACACUCAAAUUGACAGCUACUUCAUUGAAAAUGGUUUCAUUAGAAGCAAAAGUGAGCCUACCCUCUAUGUGAAGAGCAAAGAUAAUUCCCAAAUCCUUAUUGUUGCUCUUUAUGUUGAUGAUUUGAUUUUUACUGGAAAUGGUGAGAAGAUGGUUGAAAAAUUUAGAAAUGAAAUGAUGAAAAAAUAUGAAAUGAGUGAUAUGGGAUUGUUGCAUUAUUUUUUGGGAAUUGAAGUCUAUCAAGAAGAAGAUGGUGUGUUUAUUUGUCAAAAGAGGUAUGUUGAACAUAUCCUCAAAAAGUUUGGCAUGGCUGGUUGUAAUCCUGUAUCUACUCCUUUAGUUGUGAAUGAAAAGUUGAGGAAAGAAGAUGGAGGGAAGAUGGUUGAUGAAACUCACUUUAGAAGUCUUGUUGGAAAUCUGUUGUAUCUCACUGCAACUAGACCUGACAUCAUGUUUGCAGCAAGCUUGCUGUCAAGAUUCAUGCAUUAUCCUAGUCAUUUACAUCUUGGAGCAGCAAAAAGAGUCUUGAGAUAUUUGCAAGGCACGGUUGAACUUGGAAUAAAAUAUUUCAGGAAUAUUGAAGUGAAGCUAAUUGGCCAUUGUGAUAGUGAUUGGGGUGGCUGUAUUGAUGACAUGAAAAGCACAUCAGGCUAUGCAUUCUCCCUUGGUUCAGGUGUUAUGUCUUGGGUCUCAAAAAAGCAAGGUUUAGUGGCUCAAUCCUCUGCUGAAGCAGAGUACAUUUCAGCUUCAUUGGCAACUUCUCAAGCAAUAUGGUUAAGAAGAAUUUUAGAAGACAUUAAGGAGAAGCAAAAUGAAGCAACACAUCUACUUUGUGACAACAAAUCUGCUAUAGCCAUUGCAAAAAACUAUGUUUUUCAUAGUAGGACUAGGCAUAUUGCAGUGAAGUAUCAUUUUAUUAAAGAAGCUAUUUCAGAUGGUGAGGUUCAAUUGAUGUACUGUAAAUCAGAGGAGCAGGUUGCUGAUAUCUUCACUAAAGCAUUGCCUUUGGAGAAGCUUGUUCACUUCCGAAAGCUUUUGGGAGUAGAGGAACAUCACAUUAGGGGGGAGAAUGUAACAUAAUGUGCCUAUGCUGUGUUAGGUUAUAUAUGUAAAAACAACUUUUUUGUUUUUGUUUUUGUUUUGAGUGGUUGUCAUGCUUCCACGUGGAGAGAUUUACACAGGUUAAAUCUCUUUGCAUCUGGUUUAAAUUCUGGUGACUGUACACAAAAAAAGUGAAGCCGAGAAUACAAAGUGAAAAGAAAAAGGGUCCUCUGUUUUGUGUGGGGACUGUCUUAACUCCUCUGUUCCCAGGUCUGUUCCAAGCUGUUACUCUUCCAUUUUUUCUUUUUAUAGCCUUUCUCUGUUUCAGGCUGAAACUGCAGCCAACAAGAAAAAAGGUGUUAAAACCCAUUUACAGAUAAUCCUACUUUUUCAAGCAGAGUAGUAGGAAGCCUAGAGAGUAUCGAUAGGAAACAUGCAAGUGAGAUGGGUUCAGUUACAUAUAACUGCUCAUGCCUUCUGCUCAUGUUCUGUCCACAGUAUUUAUGUUUAGUAAGCCAUCNNNNNNNNNNNNNNNNNNNNNNNNNNNNNNNNNNNNNNNNNNNNNNNNNNNNNNNNNNNNNNNNNNNNNNNNNNNNNNNNNNNNNNNNNNNNNNNNNNNNAUGGCUGGUUGUAAUCCUGUAUCUACUCCUUUAGUUGUGAAUGAAAAGUUGAGGAAAGAAGAUGGAGGGAAGAUGGUUGAUGAAACUCACUUUAGAAGUCUUGUUGGAAAUCUGUUGUAUCUCACUGCAACUAGACCUGACAUCAUGUUUGCAGCAAGCUUGCUGUCAAGAUUCAUGCAUUAUCCUAGUCAUUUACAUCUUAGAGCAGCAAAAAGAGUCUUGAGAUAUUUGCAAGGCACGGUUGAACUUGGAAUAAAAUAUUUCAGGAACAUUGAAGUGAAGCUAAUUGGCCAUUGUGAUAGUGAUUGGGGUGGCUGUAUUGAUGACAUGAAAAGCACAUCAGGCUAUGCAUUCUCCCUUGGUUUAGGUGGUAUAUCUUGGGUCUCAAAAAAGCAAGGCUCAGUGGCUCAAUCAUCUGCUGAAGCAGAGUAUAUUUCAGCUUCAUUGGCAACUUCUCAAGCCAUAUGGUUGAGAAGAAUUUUAGAAGACAUCAAGGAGAAGCAAAAUGAAGCAGCAUAUCUACUUUGUGACAACAAAUCUGCUAUAGCCAUUGCAAAAAACUAUGUUUUUCAUAGUAGGACUAGGCAUAUUGCAAUGAAGUAUCAUUUUAUUAAAGAAGCUAUUUCAGAUGGUGAGGUUCAAUUGAUGUACUGUAAAUCAGAGGAGCAGGUUGCUGAUAUCUUCACUAAAGCAUUGCCUUUGGAGAAGCUUGUUCACUUCCGAAAGCUUUUGGGUGUAGAGGAACAUCACAUUAGGGGGGAGAAUGUAACAUAAUGUGCCUAUGCUGUGUUAGGUUAUAUAUGUAAAAACAACUUUUUUGUUUUUGUUUUGAGUGGUUGUCAUGCUUCCACGUGGAGAGAUUUACACAGGUUAAAUCUCUUUGCAUCUAGUUUAAAUUCUGGUGUCUGUACAACAAAAAAGUGAAGAACCGAGAAUACAAAGUGAAAAGAAACAGGGUCCUCUGUUUUUUUGGGACUGUCUUAACUCCUCUGUUCCAGGUCUGUUACAAGGUGUCACUCUUCCAUUUUUUCUUUCUAUAGCCUUUCUCUGUUUCAGGCUGAAACUGCAGCCAACAAAUGGGAAUGAAAUGUGAUCAUGCAUGCAUGAGGAUAGAUGGAUAGCGGAGGAAGUAGGUUUAUAGGUGCUGAAAGAAAUGGGUGUUUAGGUUGAAUGGAAGGUGGAGAUGUGGGGCGUGGUGACGGGUAUGAUUGAUGGGCUCGGUGGGUAUGAGAAGAAGGAAGAUUGGAUAGUGGGAGAAAUGGGUAUCGAAGAUGGUCGUGUUUGCAUGAUUCCCAUGCAUGCGUGGAGCUUCAGGCACGUGAGAAAUGAUAGAAAUGAGGUCAAGGUUGGUUGGAUGAAUGAUGAGGGUGGAUGUGUUGGUUUUGAAACCAGAUAAAUAAAAGAAAAAACGGAAGCCAAAAAAAUUUUCUCAAAAUUUUUUCUCAAUGAUCAAUACUUGUAUUAAUUUAAUGAAAUAACAAAUAUAGGUAAAUUAGAAUUGUACCUUGCGAUUAGGCUGAUAAAUUUGAACUUCACCAAAAGGAUCUUAGAAUUCCAAAUCCUCUAAAGCACCAUGGAUCUUUCUCUAACGUUCUCCAAAUUAUGAUGAACUCAAAACGAGUGGGCGUUUUUCAUUCUUGGGUUUUUUUCUCACACAACUUAAUAUAUAUUGAAAACUUGUAUUCUCUUCCCAUCAUCCGAGAAACAUUGAGAAAAAAAAAAUUUAAUACCACGAAGAAAAAAAAAUAACUGACAUGUUUUGAAUUUUGAAAAACAUGGGAGAGAAUAUCUCUCCCCAUGAUCCCCACUUAAAAAGUGUUUCUUUGAAUUUUGAAAAACAUGGGAGAGAAUAUCUCUCCCCAUGAUCCCCACUCAAAAGGUGUUUCUUAGGGAAUACAAGUAAGUGUGGUUUUCACCACAUUGUAUCAAAAAAUAUUUUAAAUAAUCAAAUUAUAAAAUAAAUAAAUCAAAUCAAGAUUGUGUGAAAUUAAUUUAGAAUUUAAAAUUCCAAAACUAAUAAAAUCAACCCAACAUAAAAAAAUGUUCAUAUAAUUUUAAUGGAGCCGUUGAGAGGAACUAUGGACAUUAUAAUUUUAAGCUCCAAUAAUUUUGACAAUUAAUUAACAACUUAAUUAAAAAAUCAAAAUUAUUAAUUCCAAAAUUACUCCACUAAAAAUUUGGAAUUGCACUCUUAAAAUUAUAAAAUUAAAUAUAUUCAAAGGAUUUGAAUUGCCCAUUGAUAUAGUCACUACAUAUGAGUCAAUCCUCCAUAAACGGUUCAUAAUUAAAGCUAGGUUUUUCCGUUAACCUCUUUAAUUAUAUCUUUCUCCUUAAGUGCCAUUGGUUCUCUAAUGAAUAAUAUAUUUAUGGUCUAAUCAUAAAUUGAGCGCUCUUAUCAUUCAAGGCCCGAACCAAUACUUAUGGGAACCGUCCAUCUGACUUCUUAACGAAGGAAUGGAUUUCAUCUUGUAUAUUAAUAUUCCCGGCUAUUUAUUUUAUUAUACUUCCAAUACACCAAGAAUUUGACACUAUGUAUUUGUGUCAUUACCCGGUAUGUCAAAAAAUACAAUAGAAUAAAUAGGAGUCUAUUAAUCACUCAGAAUUAAGAUCAAUGCAUAUAUGACCAUCAUUGAUUAAUAUUAAAUGCUCUAUAUUAUAAUGGAAUUUAUCAGAGAUUCAUAAUUAAUCGUGUUCCAGUCCUAUAUAAUCAAAUUAUAUAAAGCGCUUUCAAUCUAAUAAUCUCAUUAUUAACAAUCCGGAUAAGAUCAUUUCAUUCAGAAUGUAAUGAACCGCGCUAGUAAUUUUAAAUUAAAGAUCCCAUCUUUAAUUUUUAAUUACGAACAUAUUAGAUUAUUUUACUUUAAAUAUUAUCCUCUUGUAUAUAACACUUAUAUACAAUAUUUAAAGUUUCAAUUAAAUAAUCUAGGGUUUUCGAUAUUUAUAAAGCAUCUAUAACAUGCAUGCAACAAUAAUAUUGAAAUAAUUCCUUAAAAAAAUAUUAAUAAUCAGCAAAAUAAAAAACAUCUCAUUUGUUUAUGGGCACAUAUUCCAACAGGAUGGUAUAGGAGAAACGAGCAUGGGGUUGGUGAGGUGGGUUAGUGUGGCCGUGUAUGGCCAUGCAAAGGUGGGAGGGAAUGAGAUUGAGAAGAGUGAAAAAGGGUAGAGAGAGAAAUGAGUAUGAAAGAUGAGUGAGUAUGUGAGGAUUGAAAAUGGAACGAGGUGAAGGUGGCCAUGUGCAUGAGAUUUUCAUGUACAUAGAAAAAUGAAGGAAAUGGGUAUUAGUGAGAGAAAUGGGUAUGGUGGAGUGAAGGAUGAAAGGGUGGCGGGAUUAGAUGGGCAUGGAUAGUAAGAGGUUAAAGAUGGGGAGGAUGGGUGUAGUGGUGAAACAGUGUGCAUGAAGGGUACGUGGUGUAGAGGGAUAAAUGGGUUCAUACGUUUCAAGGAAAGGGUGAUAUGCAUGGGAGGUUAUGAAAGAUAAGUAUGGAAAUGGGCAUGAGAAGGUGGGCAAUAUGGGUAGGAUGAGUUCGAUGGGUGUGAAGCGAUGGGUUUGAUGGAGGAUAGGACGGAUGAGAGAUGAAGGAUGAAGUGGGUUAGAGAGUAUUAAAGAAGUGGUGGUGCAUAGAAGGUUAGGGAGAAUGAGGGGAUGAGUUUGGGUGUGAGUAUGGUUACGAGCAUGGUGGAGUGAAGGAUGGAGUACAAAAGUUGCAGGAAUGAUGAGAUGAGGUGGCCAUGUGUAGGAAUUCCAUGCAUGUGGGUAGGAAACAAAUAGCUGGGCAGCAAGGUGAGUGACGACCUGAAAACUCUCAUCAUCAAGAGCAUGGGUGGCAGUGGAACAAAUCUUUUCCUCAAACCUUUCAGCAAUUUUCCAUAUCUCACAUAGUUCCUCGGAAUCAGACCUUAACUGAUCUAGCUGGCAACUCUUUGAAGGGAUGAGUCAUAAGGUUACAUACCAAAGAGAUUCUUAUGGUUCCACACCUCAGAGUAUAGUUCCCGUACCUAAGAACGCCUGAACAUCAGGAGCAGAGGGAAAGUAGCAAAGACGGAGCAUAGAUGAAGAAAAUAAGAUUAACCAUCAAAAGCCACACUUCGUGUCCUAGUCAGUGGGCUUAAAGAUAGGUGGAUUAAAAGAGUUUCUAAAUGGCGCGAAGGAGAUAAAAUGGAGUUGAAACAAUUUUUGAACACAAACAGGAGCAAUAGAGGAACUGUCAACUAUGAAGAAAAAAAAACCAUAAAUCAUCCAAAGAUCAACAGCAACACAUCUAAAUAAUAGUAGAUGAAAAGAAAAGAAAUAUACACAGUGGAAGACUUACUUCUGGGAAAAUGUUGGAGGUCCUUCUUCUCUGCUUCUUCUUUUUCUCUUCUCCCACAACUCAUUUUUCCCUCAACUAUUUUAUUUUUCUCUUCCAGAACCCUCCGGAACCAAAGGUGUCCCCCCCUCCAGAUACUACCCCUCAGUUCAAAAAUAUCUCAUGUCUCUCUGAACACACUCCUCUCUCUCUUCGAUUCCCUCUCAAUCUUCUCUGAAAAAAAAACUCUCGGCCCCCCUCCAAAAAACGCCUUUUUUUCUCUUCCCUAAGCUAUCUAUCCCCUUGUUACAACCCACAAAAAUGUCUUUCUUGUCAUGUAGCCCCAUUUUCUGUUCAGUUCUGUCUCCUCUCUUCAAACGGUUGUGUCUCCCCUUUUUGAAACAACUCACCAUCAGCUGCUUUUCUUCCUACUUUCCAUCCCGUCUAGCCACCCAAAAACAACUCAUUCCCAGUCCUCUUUGGCUGCCCAAGAACGGCUCACCCAUCAUCCGCUUUCUUCACCUUCCGUCUUCUUUGGCUGCCCGAGAACGACUCCUUCUCAGGGUGGCCAGAAAAAUAAAAAAAAAUAAUAUGAAACCCCUCCAUCUCAAGGGUCUACAAAGGUGUUUUCAAAAAACAUAUAUUAGUUGUUUUUAGUUUUCUUCAUUAGCUUGGUUGUUUUAAAAAAAUAAUUAUACAAAAAAAAUGAUUAAAAAUAUAAUAUUAUAUACAAAAAUUAUUUAAAAAUUAUAUGCAUGAGUUUUGGAAAGUCUUGCAAAAUAAGCAAAGCUAUAGGAAAAAUAUGCAAACAAAAAUUUGUAUUAAAAUCAUUGGGGGCGGACAAUAUUUGUGGAAAAAUAUUUUUUGCCAAAGAAUAUUUUUUAAAGAUCAAUUGAAAGCCUAAAGCGACUUGUUCCCAAAUGAAUUUAUUGAAUGGUGAAGAGCAUGUAUGUUGCGAUUUUUUGGAUUUGUAGGGGGUAUUUUAUAAAGCUUUUUUUCUCUUUGUGAAACUUCUUUUCAUAUGUGAAAUUGUUUUAUUUUUUUAUCAUUUUCAUUGAAGGAAGUUGCAGAUAUUUAUAGAUGAAAUUAAAAAAUUAAAUUUAGAAUUUCUAAGAUUUGAUUACUUAAUUAAAAAAAUUGGUUUCUUAAUUUUAGCAACUUGUCUUUUUCAUUAAGGAAGUUUGCUAACAAGAGAUUAUUUACUUCUCAUUUUCUUUUGACUUCAAUUGGAAGAUUUGUUUCAUUUGUUUAGAAAAUUUGCCAACGAGAAAAUAUUGAUUUCUAAUUCUUUUUUAUUUCAAUUUUUUGAUUUGAUUUGAUUUUGCAAGACUUUAUUGUAUAGCCUUCCAAAUUUCGCUACAUGCCAUUUUUUGAAUCAAAUGCCACAUGUUCAAUAUAUAUGACUCAUCACUUAUCAAGCCCAAAUUUUGUUGAGCUAAGGAGUUACAAUUUUGAAGACUAAUUUGGUAGUAUUUUAAUCCACUAAAAUUUUUUAUGUUUACAAAUGCCCUGAAGACAGAUCACACACAUACAUUGCCAUGUAUAAGAGGUGAAUCUUGAAGUUAGCCAUUUGAAUCUUCCAUAUCCUUCUUUGAUUUUAUUUUUUUCGAAGAAAUAUUUUAAUAGGAAAUUUCCUAUUCAAAAUACUUUUCUUCAACUUUUUCCAAACACUACUUUAUUUAUUUAUUUAUUUAUUUAUUUAUUUAUUUAUUUAUUUGCCUGGUAUCAAAGAAAGACCUUGUGUUAAUGGGAAAGCUUCUUAUUUGAAUAUCUAUUUUCUUUUCUCAUGGUAUUUUCACUUCCAAUUUGCCAUCCUACAAUAAGUCCUUCACCCUAGCUUGGUCAAUUGCAUCUUAGACUUGUUCACAUGCCUUUAACUUGUAAUUCAAGUUCCAUUUUUUUUUGUUUAAAAAAUAAUACAAUAUAUUUGAGCAAGACCUUAAGCAAGAGAAGAGAGGUGGAGGAUGGAGCACCAGCUAACCUUAGGGCAAGAUCUUGAGCAAGAGAAGUAAGGUGGAGAAUAGAGCACAAACUUCUUUAGAGUAUGGUAGGCAUGUCGUCACAGAGUUAUCUUCCACAUGGAGCAUGGUAGGGCAUUAUAUAUAUGAUAGGGUGUGCCAUCAUGUAACAAUGAAGAACAACAAUCCAUGGUGUACAAUUGGGAACAACAAUUCAUGCUAUCAAGAUUCACCUGUUUUUAUUUAUUUUUUAUUUUUUAUUUUUAUCCCUAUCUCCACCCUCGACUCCAUUUUUUUUUUUUUCAAGUUUCUAGAUCCCUUUUGAUUCUUUCUCAUUUUCUUUUUUCAACUCUUUUUUUCCCUCCUUUUUUAAGCAUUGUUCUUAAGGAAAAAAUAUAAUUUACGAGUACCUGGAUUCUAUUCGAAUAAAAAAGAGCCAUUCACAUGCAUGGAUUAAAUAUAUAUCUCAUGGAUACAUUGUACUUAGCCACGGCUGAAGCUUUCCACUAUGACUUAGAAACAAAAAAAGAAAGAUAUGAUUAAAAAACUGAUUGGCAUGUGGCUGUGCUUGCCAGUAGAUGGCUGAAAAGUAGUUCUGACCUUUUGUUUUGGCCUCUACUAAGGAACCCAUUAUUGAGAGAUUUAAUGGCAACUAUAUAUGGUAUAAAUAAUGUUUCAUAAAGUACUUACACAUCUUAUUCUCAUUUCUAUCAAUGCAAUAAUGUAGACCCCCAUGUGGGGCUUGAUCUGCUGCAGCACAUUUGGCCACGUGUCACUCUCCGAUUGGCCAUCAUGGAUGCUCUUGAAGGCCAAUCUGGGGUCGACACGUGUCAUCAUGGAAUCAGACAAAAAUCUUUUUUUGGCUGUUAUUUGAGGGAGAAAAGCGGCUGCAUGAAGGUGGUGGUCUGGCCGUUUUGAGGAGUGCUUUUGGGAAGGCUGCAGGGUAGUGGUGCAGGGGGUGUCGUCUGGCAGCUGCAUUGAGAGUGAGAGAAAAAGGAGGGGAGAGACUGAGAGGGCAAGUGUUCACUGUCGUUUUGGCAUUGGGAGAGGGGGGUUUUUUUUUUCUAGAGAGAACAGAGAGCUAGAGGGAGAGUAAGAGUUUUGCUGGAAGGGAUUCCUUGAGCUGAGGCUGCCGGAGAGAUAUUUUGAGAGGGAGAGGUUUUUGGUGGCUGUUUUUCUGCAGGUCGUAAGGAAAACAGCCAGAGAGCUAGAAGGAGAAAGGGAAAAGAAAAAGCUAAGAAAAACAAAGCAGAGAGCUUUAGUGAGAGAGAGGAUUCCAGAGAGCACUGAGAGGAGAGGUUGCAGAGAGGAGUCCAGGGAGAGUUUCCAUUAGAGAGAGAAAAACAAAGGAAGAAGAAGAAAGGCAAACUGAGAGAGAGGGAGGAGAGAAACAGAGUAAGCUACAGGAGGUAUGGAGCAGAAAGAGUGAAGUAGAGCAACUCGAUACCCAUCUGGUCUUGCAAGAAAGAGGUGUGUUCAGGAUUUGAGAGAGGAGCAGGUGGGAUUAGAGAGGGUUCUUUGGCAGCUGCAGGGAAGACAAGGGAGGAUCUCCAAGUAAGUUUAUCAUGGUUUUCCAGUCUUUUUCUUAUUAUGAUAAUUGAUCCAUUAUUCUUCCUGCUAUUUCUGGGUAUUGUUUGAUGGCUUGAGCGUGGAUGCCCCCCAUUGUUUGAUUUCUAUUGGUUUCAUGGUAUGAAUGUGGAUUUAUUGUUAUAGUUUUUUUUGUCUCUCUUUCCUCUUGGGUUUUGCUGGAAAAUAACCUCACUCUAUUUCAAUUCCACUGUGAAAUGCUUGAGAAUCAUGACUUGUUCAUAUUGGCAUGAAUUUUCCCACCUAGUUAGCAGGCUCCCUGAUAACCCAUGAAGUGGAGCCUCAUUUGAUGAUAACUUUAUUUUGUUUUUCUUUUAUGUUCUGUUUUCCAUGGCUUCUUCUUUCUUGUGGCUCUUAUCUAAAUGCAUGGGAUGUGAGGAAAAGACCAGGAUCUUCAAGAUCUCCAAGCUGAAGAUGUUAUCAAGGAGCAAGCAAGUCAGACUUCUGUAUAAGUUCCACGACCCUAGGGAAAUGGUCUGAGAAGGUCUCUCGUGAAGCUAUGUAAGGUUGGCCGGAAGAGUCUUUCUAUGUUUCAACAAGCAGUUUCUGUGGACUUAGUUGGGUGCUGGACUUGGGUUUUAAAUGGUGGCCAGUGGAGAGCUUUUCGAAAAUCUCUUUCUAUUCAGGAUAAAGAGGUGCUCAAAGCCCGGGAUUUUGUUUUGAGUGAGGCAAGGAAGUAUGAAAUCGGGUUCAUAUUGUCAUUAAGUAAUAAUUGGGGAGAAUAUGGUGGCAAAGCAUAGACAACAACAGGCUCCCUCUGGUCACGGUACUGCUGAAAAUAAGGAAAGAGUCUUUCCAUGCUGGCAUGAGUGUUGAUGAAACCACCAUUACCCUACUCUCGCAUGGCUAUCUAUUUGCCCAGUUUCUCAUACCCACUUUCAUAUUAGCCUUCUCAAACCUCCCAGCAUGCUGUUUUUUUUUUUUUUUUUUUUUCUUGAAAUCUCACGGAUCAAUUCAUUCUUCUAUGCCCUUUACCCUUCAUGCAUACUAUUUUACCACCACAACCAUUAUCCCCACUUUCAGCAUAAUACCGAAAAUGCCCAUCAAGCAUUUUUUUUUCAUUUCAUAUUAUCCCUUCCACUAAUUUCCCACUCCCUAUUCCACACCAUACCCCCCGUGGUAAAUAUAGUCAAUGUUCUGACCCAAUUUUUUUUUUUUUUCUUUUAUCCCAUGCACGGAUCCACCUUUAAUAGACCCUACACAAUCAUCCCUUGGGACCCGAACUCACAACCCGUUUUCACUAUCAUCCUUCUCGCUCCUCUGUUUGUAAGUCAUUCAUGCCACUUUCCAGUUUUGAUAGAAAUGGAGCAGUUCCAUUGAUGUUUGCAGGGCUGCAAAUAUUCAUACCAGUAGGUAACCAUGCUAUCUCAGGACUGAAGUCUCGGAUCUUGGAAGGGUUCUCGCAGCGGGGUUACAGCGUUUUGCUCUCUUCACGAUCCGUGACUGCAGCAUAGUCGUGGUUUCCAAGUACAAUAUGGCAAUGGAAGUCAUUCAAGGGCUUUUGAAUGCAUAAUCAGUCGAUGGAGAUAUUCGGAAACAUGCAGAAGAGAGUUUAAAACAGUUCCAGGAGCAAAAUCUUCCAAAUUUCCUACUAUCUCUUUGCUUUGGCAAACUUUACCGAUGGUAUGGAGCGUGAUUAUAUCAUGAGAGUUGUCUGUGAAGCAACUCUGUCUCCUGAAGUCAAGAUAUUAAUAAAAGAGGUAGUGAACAUCCAAAGCAAGGAGAUGAUGAAGACGCUGAUGCUUCAGAUGAGAACUACAAUGGUUGAGGCAGAAAUUGAAGAUUGGACAAGGGAUUAUAGCAUCCGUACCUUGCUGAAGUUGCCAUGGAUAAAGGGCCCCUCUUCCAUCAAUUCAAACAGGGAUUACCUUUUGUUCUUUUCUGAGAGUUACAGAUUUUAUGGGAUGCAAUUGGGGCCCGCCAUGCAGCAUUAUUGACGUCAAAUUCACAGCUACAUGCUGAUAGUUUGGAUGAUAACAUGUGCGGCACAACUGUAAUAACAGUAUUGAUUCGUGGUCGGGCUAUAUAUGUUGCUAACUCAGGGGAUCCCAGAGCUGUUACAGUAGAAAGAAAAGGGAAGGAAAUUGUAGCUGUUGAUUUAUCAAAUGAUCGUUACCAUCCAUGCAGACUCUUGGUGGAUGACAUGUCCAGGGAAGCAUUUCCAGAAUCCUGAUGUGUAAAGGUAUAGCAGGAGGGAUGGUUGGAGAGUUGCAAGGGUUACGUCGCCCACUCAUUUGAGGUUUGAACUUGAUGUGCUAGCAUUCUCUGGUGCUACUUUAAUAAGGGUUUGGGUCACUUUGCUCUUCCCCCAGUGAAGCUGUGAACUGCCAUCUGUCACUUCCUCAAGUCAUUAUAACCCCGGUCGUGGUCUUCUCUCCCGUGCUAGGUCUCUCAGACUUCCUCAGGGCAUGCCUUUUUUUCAUUUUGCCUAUUCCCUAUUAUUGUUACUAUUAUUAUUUUCAUUUCUCUUUUUAUUAUAUUAAAUUUAUUUCACCUUUUAUUAUUAUUAUUAUUUUCUUUAUUAUUAUUAUUAUUUUAUCCUUGUUGUUUUCAAAAUAAUCCAUCAAAUUCCAGCUUUCAAAGGGUUUUCCAAAUUCCAUUUUUAUAAAAUUUAUUUACUUUUAAUUUUCAUCUUUAGUUUUUUUAGAAUCCCUCAAAAAUCUCAUUUCAAAUAAAAUUCACCGCCAUUUUUUGUUUUGGCCAGUGACUUUCACAAUUCCUCUGAUUUUCAAAAUGUUUUAAAUAAGCUAGAAUCGAAUUCCGUAAUUCCUAGUGAUGGAAUUUAUGGAAUUAAUUCAUGCAAAAAUGAAUUGGGCUUUGGUGGGGGCCCUACAUAUGAGAUUUCAUGAUUGAUUGACUGAUUGAUUCAUUCAUUAGCUAUAUGUGAUUGAUUUACUCUGUUUCUUGAUAUACACAUUAUCCUUCUGUGUUUGUUCACUAACCCUGUUUCUGAUAGCGCGUUACGGCUCGCGGCCCAGGUACGCACUCUCUAUACCUAUUCUGUUUUUUUUUAUAAGUGUAAGAUGGAUUUGAGUAUCCAUUGAUUUUUCCAUUGAUUGUCAUGUCAGCUUCAUUUUAUUAGUAGAGACCCGACUUUAGGGACUUAGAGGGGUGCUACGGUCUUUACCGUACCUUCCCGAUAAGUAACCUGACCCCCGAACCCGAUCCGGUUUUUCAUAGACCGCCUUUUCCAAAAUGAGGAGUCACACUUAGGGUUUUUCUUUCUUAUUUUGUUUACCCUUUAAAAAUAAAACAAAAAUAAGUGGCGACUCCAAGUCAUUUUCAAAUAAUCAAUAAAAUCAAUUUUUCAAAAUAAAAAUCGAGUUUCACCAUCGAGUGGGAAACACAUCGAGCUCAGAAUCGAAAAUGCGGGGUCCACAAAUAAUCAUAAUCAUCUUAUCUAUAAACAUGGCCUAGAGCCACAGAGCUGCCUUUUCUUUAGUCCUCGAGCCAUUUCAGCUAAAAGUAGUCUUUCCUUAGCAUUUCCGGUUCUAAGCUCCCAUUUCUUUAGGCCUUGAGGCAUUAAUUUUCAGCCCAGAGCUGCUUUUUCUUUCGGCCUAAGCUGCCUUUCUCUAGCAUUUUCAGCCCAGGGCUACCUUUCCUAGGCAUAUUAGCCCAAAGCUUCUAUUUCUUUAGGCCUGGAGCCAUUUCAACCUAGAACAUUUGUUUCUUUAGGCCUUGAGCCCUUUUCAACCCAGAACUGUCAUUUCUUCUAAAUAACUUCUCUUUUAAAAAAACUUCAAUUUUUCUUUCCAAUCACAAAUUUUAAGGCUUUGUUCCAGGUUUCAAGAAGCUGGUAAAAAUCUUCUAUUUAACAUUUCAGCAGUGAAUCGAAUUCACGAAGGAAAAAAAAAAUCUUGACGGCAUAAAGUAGGACAUGGGAUAGUUUGAAAUGCGUAAUUUUCAUCAUUCAAAUGUAAAACAUAUUAACUCUAUUUAGAUACUUUAACCAUUUCAAAUACUACAUACAUGUUCUCUUCAUUUUUUUUCUCUCUCGCAUUUUCCAUCAAAUUUUUCAACAAUCAAACAUAACCUUUAAAAAACAGAUAAUUUUACUUAUUUUGAAAGUGCUUUACAUAUAGCUUCUAUGAAAAGCUGUUUCAUGUUAAUUUAAUGAUGCACUUAUAAUAUUAAGAUUGCCCUUUCAUAAUCAUGAAUUAACCUUUAGUUUCAACUUCUACAAGAGGCUAAAUGAACAAAGCUAUCACAGAGGAGGCCUCAGCCAAUGAGUCAGAUGCACUGUUGUACCAAACCAAGGAUUUAUUUAUAAUGAAGUGCAGUCUCCAUAUGCACAUGAGACUGCAUUUACAGCAAAAAGACAAGGAAAUUAACAAUGUUGGAAUUACUGGAAAAUCACACAAAUUAUUGAAGGAGGACCUUAGCUAGGUUGUCUCCUAAAUUGCCCAUCUUUUUAUAUCUUUGCAUUCAUCUAUCUCAUCAUCGUCUUUGAUUUUAGAUGGUGAGGAUGUGAAAGUAACAGGAAGCAGUGGACGAUUGUUCACAGUGAGGCUUAGCACAUCAGCUCUCGAAUAAUGUCCUACCACGUCAAACUGGAACUUUGCUUUAGGAAUCUCUCCACGAACAUCUGCAUAUCAAGUGAUCAUAAAAAUAUUUGAUCAGCCCAUGAUAAAUAUCAUAGAGUAUCAAGUCUUCCAUAAAACUAUGUUUGCAGUCCCUUUAAACCUAAAGAAUUGACUCAUUUGCCUUAUCUGCAUACUGAAUUAUUUGGAUAUAUAAUCGGAGAAGUUAGGGCCAUACCAAGAUCAGCUGUGAAGAGGCCUUCUCCUUCAUAAUUCGGUCCUGCUAGAAUUUCGCCAUGGGGCGAAAUGAUGACACUACCUCCAGCCCAAACAAUAGAAUCUGGAGUGACAUCUUCUUCUGUAGGACUGUAAAGAUACUCAGGUGGAGGUGGGUAAUCUUUCCUCCGACAGAACUGGAUGGGUGAAAGAACAUAGCAUCCACCCUCCAUAGCGAUGUGUCUCAUUGUAGCUACCCAUGUAUCCCCGGAAUCGGCAGUAGGAGCACAAUAUAUCUCAAUUCCUAUAUA
rnacentral:lncRNA from 1 species